rnacentral:lncRNA from 1 species
CACGGCGAUCGACACCUACGAUGACCACCGGAUGGCGAUGGCCUUCUCCCUGGCGGCCUGUGCUGAGGUGCCAGUCACCAUCAGGGACCCUGGAUGCACCCGAAAGACCUUCCCCAACUACUUCGACGUGCUAAGCACCUUCGUCAAGAACUAGAUUGGAGAAUCUAUGGCGAAUUGCGCUUGUACUUUUGUAGCCUGUCCAUGGUCUGGAAUUUUUGUCUUUUUCGUCUUGUCGCGAGAUGGUGUAUGAGUCUGUAAUAUUAGUUUUGUAGUGCGCGAGGUAAAAUGAAAUGUAUUGCACACUGUAUUCGUUUUUUGAAUAAGAAAUAAAUUAUGAUCUAGAUGUCAUGCUGCUGCUCGCGGAGGAUCUUGGGCAUGCAAGCUAGUAGUAUAGGAAUUAUGAAAGGAGGAAGCAUCCCCUCGCACACAACUGAAUGCUUGAAAGGUAAUACCGAGCCUAAAUGAAACAAUUCAGGUACGGAUCUCAACGUGAGAUCCGACGGUGGGAGAGCAUGCCACCGGCAUAGAAGAUGGAUGUGCGGUGUCGUUGGGUUGGGGAGCAAGUAGUAUAGAAUCUGAGCCUGUGAUGCAAAAAUAGAAAAAAUGGAUCUGUACCAUAAGAUGGUAGAUUGAUGGUCCAGAUUAGGGUGGGAUGCUCUGCACGCACAGUUUGCAAAAAGUCCAUCUCUGCAAGCUAAUUUUGUCCCCGUCAAACCCAAAUCCCGUACACAGGCCGUCAAUGACUUUGAGAUUUCAACGACCGCCAUCUCCUCUACCAGGUGAGGUGAGAGAAGGAAAUUGGUUAACUGACUCUGCCUCAUCACCAUAAAAUCGUUCCUGGUGCCUUUCAAGCCUACACAAUUCAGAACAGAUGCUUUCCACUAUCCAGAUAUAUGGACGAUCUCUCAGUUGCUAGAGGAAACUGGAACUGAAACUGAGAGGCAUGAGAGAGGUUGAUCUCCGCCCAUCGUUGCUAGAGGAAACUAGAAUUGGAGUCAGAGAGGCAUGGGAGAUACUGCUAUUUAUUAGUUGAGGUAUGAUGACACGAAGGUGCCACAUUGGCCCACCGCAUUGCAUUUCUUUUGUGUGCUUUCAGUACUAUUUUAGCACAUGGGAUACGCUUCUCCAGUGAGAUUUCAUUUGCGAUCUUCACCUUUAUGCGUUGUAAAUCAUAGAUUCAUCGGCUCACAAACUCUCACUGGGUGCACGCCUCCGCGGCUAAAUCAUCGGUCAUCAAACAUGCUACAAAAUCCGGUACGUUGGGAAACCACAUAGCAUGGCUUCCGUGGACGGCACCAACACACAAAGUCACCCCAAUGGUUUACUCCAAUCACGAGGAGAAAUCACCCUAAUAUGGUUUCAUUGAUUUGAAUGGAUUGAUGUGUUGUAUAAGGAUGGAGAUGGGUCGGGUUUGGACCGGGUUGAGCAAUAUUAAAUCCAUAUCCAUAUCCAUGAGGCAGUCGCAGCCCAUUCAUGAAAAAAAAUCCAUGGACGAAAAAUUGUGAUCAUGUCCAAAUCCGAUGGAUAUCCAUACCCAUUGGAUAUCCAUCAGGUCCUCUCAAGACCUAUACAUAAGACAUAACUCAUUGCACAAUGUGCACUCUGCAUUGGCGUGCUCACUCCCUGCCGUGUAGUCAUAGCCCUUGCAUUUGUCCCACUGCUGCGGGCAUGCAUCAAUGCGUGUGUGGAAAAGCGAAGACAGAGGGGUCAAGGAGAUAUGGAGCUAGGUUGUCGCAGGCCAGUUGUGGCUGCUGCAGUGAUCCACCUUACGUGGGGGUAGCGGCUGGCAGCGGCGGCCACCUCUAGGGCUAUGAGAGGAGUAACUCAAGGAGAUGGCACUGAUUCUCAAUGACAAGUCAUUUAAUUAGUGUAGAUACUAGGAUGAGAAGGUGCGUUGGAGUAUGUUACGGUGGGGAUUGUGUAAUUUCUUUUGGAUGUUUUAGGUAAAAGAUAAAAUUAUAGUGGGACAUGUGACUAUGGGGUAGGGGUAGCAGAAUAUUGCUCAUGAAGUCAGACGAUCGGGCCGGGUUUGGAUAUAUCCAUGGGUACAAGAUUAUGUCCAUACCCUAUCCACGAGUAAUCGGGUCGGGUUUGGCGCUGCCCAUGGGCGCAAAAGCGUAUCCAAACCCUAUCCAUUCGGGUUGGAUAUCCAUGGAUAUCCAUGUCCAUGGAUAAAAUUGCCAUCCUUACUAUUGUACCAUUGUAGGGUCCUCAUCAAAUGUAUGAAUUCCCUCGAGGGAGUGGGAAACAAAUCAAAUUAUUUUCUUUUGAUCGGAGCAGAGGGAAAGUGUACCUCUUCACUCAUAAACUUAAUGCAAGUGAGGAUUCAUUUAUGUUAUUCAUAUAAUUCAAAAGAGGAAGAUCAUCUUCUUCAAAGGAAGACUGACGUUCUUGCUCUUGGCGCAUCCGCGCCUCAGAUUCUUCUAUACGUUCUUGCAUUGAGAAAUUAUUAUCAUGGCUAGUACGAUGCAAUGCAAUCUCACACCGCGCACAAAAUUUGAAGAACCAAUCAACAUUGAAUAAUUUCAGCAUGUGAGUAUUGCGUGAUCUAUCAGAGAUUGGCGCUAAAGAUGGAAUAUUUUCACAGGUUAAGCUCUCUGGUUCCAUCAGCAGUCAAUACUUGAGUUCCUUACCGAUGGCUGCUCCUUUGGCUCUUGGGGAUGUCGAGAUUGAAAUUAUUGAUAAACUGAUCUCCGUUCCUUACAUUGAAAUGACAUUGAAACUGAUGGAGCGUUUUGGCAUGACUGCGGAGCAUUCUGAUAGUUGGGGGGACAUAUUUUACAUUAAGGGAGGACAAAAAUAGAGGGGAGUGUUUCGGAACCAUGGUCCGGCCGAACCCAUGUUGGGCGCCGUACGAUGCACUACUGCUUUACAUGUGGAUAUGUUCCCUGGUUGAAUUUAAAUUUAUUAGUUAGCUCUAACCUUUCUAAAGCCCCGUUAACCAUGGUAUACUUAUCAAUGUUGUAGUAGGCCUGCACAGUGUCAUUUUUAUUUCAAACGAGAUGGGCUGGCACACGCCCCUAAGCACUGUAGCACAUUUUUAAAAGAUCUCAUGAAAAUCAGAGUUCUGUCCUGACAUUUUAUAUGAAACGGAGUCCUGACAUUUCUAAUAAAUUAAAAUCUAAAACAGACGCUCAAGCUCUCCAGUAUUUCACUUCAUACAAAGAAUAAUUUUUCUUCAAGGGUAUCUACUGUUGUAAAUCUGUACCGACACACCGCAUACAUUCUUUUAUAUCUAUAAAGACUGCACAGAACAAUUUGAAAUGCUCAAUAAGGUUUUACAGCCUAAAAAAUGUUUGAAAAUGCAAGUAUAUACUGACACAGUGUAAAGCUAUGCUAGGCACUGCUCAUCUUAAAAAAGGUACGCCGCAUCCACAUACGUGGUUAAGUUUCACAGCUUAUAAGUAAAGCAUACAACAGAAUCAGACCCCAACUACAUCCACCAUGCAACAAAAAAAUUAAAACAAACUAGCCUCAUCUACUCUUGUUAUCAAAAAAAGGCUUUCACCCCGCUUUAUAUAUAAAGCAUCGACCAACAACACCCCAAACAAACGCACGCCACCACAACACACGCACACACCCAAGGCAAGAUACAUAAGCGCUGAGCGCAGUAACACCACCCCAAACUACAAGAGCAGUCGGGUCCUCGACCGUGAACACGACACCGCGAAGAGAUGAAGCUGCAUAUGACGAACCGUGGGCUCUAAGGCGGUGCCUUCAGGAAGGAUACGACACCGGAGCGCCGCCACCGCCCGACCUGAGAGUCAGAGUUUCCCCUAAAGCAACACGACGGGCAAUGAUGACCGCGACGACGCCUUCAGGAAGGGAGCGAGUUUCGCCGCCGCCGAUCCGUCCGAAGAUAGGACAGGUUUUCACCCCGGCCCAAACUCAUCGCCACCGAACGCCACACCCCGGCGACCAUGCCGCCCACACGACCAUGGUCACUGGGCAGCACCAAGGCACGGGCUUUGCCCAUGAGCACCGCGACACCACCACCAGGGCCGCCACCCCGGCAUCCAAAACCUCGACGCCACCUCACCAGUUACCCAGCGCCACACCACCUAUAGAGAUGGGUGGAAAGGUCCCGCCUUUCGCACCCCUGAGCUGCCCCCAACUAGCCGCCAUCGGCCCGUCCUGCUGCCGGGCGCGAGACCAGCGCGGUCCUGCCGCCGGGCGCGAGACGGGCGCGGUCCUGCUGCCGGGCGCAAGACAGGCGCGGUCCUGCAGCCGGGCGCGAGACAGGCGCGGUCCUACUGCCGAGCGCGAGACGGGCGCGGUCCUGCUGCCGGACGCGAGACGGGCGAUGUACCACAAUUGAGAAAAGCCCAGUCCUUCGAAGGAAGUGGUGCGUGGGCGACGGGGAGAAGCAUCGAAGGCCGCCGCACGCUGCCUACGGACGAACAGACGCCGAGAAUGUCAGCCGCCGCCGUAGCCGACACGCCAAGCUACCGUGGAUCCCUCCACGGCAGGAGCAGCAGCCAUACCAGGCUACUGCCCAUCCCGCGCCGCCCGCCGGACUCCAGGCGUUGAGUCCGCCGGGCACGCAGCCACCAGAUCGGCCAGCGCACCGGUCGCUCCACCUGCGCCGCCCCACGCACCACCACACCUGCGUCGCCACCUCCACCACAUACGCGCCGCCGCGCCCUGGCCAGAGCCGGCCAGCACCCCGCCCCCCACACGGAGCAGCCGAGCUGCCAGCCGCCACGCCACCACCUGAGCCCGGCCGUCGGCCACCCCCAAGGGCAUCCGCCGCCGCCACCUCCCGGAUCUGGGCAGAGGCACCCAGAUCCGACGCCAGCAAGAACCCCGCACACCCACCCCGGAUCCGCCAUGAGGGAGGACGGGACGCACCGCUGGGACGCCAGGACGCCGAAGGGAAGGGGCCGAGCACGAGGGAGAGCCGACGACCGCCACCGCCGCCGAGGAGGACCACGCCGCGCGACGCAAGACCCCAGGCGCGGGAAGAAGGCGCCCCUCCGCCGCCUACGCCGCGCGGCCUUUGGCCGGCGACGCCACCGGCUGCGGCGGGGGAGGGGAGCCGGGGCGAGGAGGGGAGGGGGUGGCGCUGGGGUUGGCUCCCGGAGUCGCCCGCGGGAGCGACUCGGGGAGCGGGGAUCUCUUUGCUCUAGUGUCGUGGUUUUGGUUAACUCAUCUACUCUUGUUCUAUACGGGAAAUCACUAAAAUGUGGAGCAUGAGACGCACAGGGCAUUGCAUGAGCAAGUCGUGGGACCAUAUCUGGCAUACAUAACAAAGGAAAUAAAACAAUAUGAACAGUGUUGGUGUGAGACAACAUUCGCCACAUCCAAAGCAACAUGCUUAUUUUAUUACAUAUGGCGCAGGCAUCCAGUAGGUUUACUUAGAACUAUAGACCUCUUAAUCUUUUCUUAAUGGUUUUUGCCAUAGUUUAUCUUACCCGCCAUGCACAAAUCCCCAUAAUAAGUAUCAGGAAAUGAGCGGUACCGAGCAUAGGUUUUGGGUAGACCAUGGUUCUACACAAUAUUUUCGGGCAAAAAUACAAGUUAUACAUUGUUCUACUUCUUCUAAUAGUGGAGUACUAAGAAAUGAUUCUAAUUUUCAGUCUACCCAAAUAUUUAUAGACACACCCCAUUUGAAUUAUUGAUAAACUAGGAGAUACCCCCUUCAUUUUUGUAUACAAGGCCACAAACACAUAUUACAGGUAUCAAAGCAAAAAUAAAUGUGUGCUUAAGUCAAUAUUGCAAGCUAGGUUGUCUCCUUGUUUGUCGUGUUUAUUAAUGCAUAUUUUUCUGUCCCAUCUACGACAAGCCAAUGCUCUCACUCCUUUUGGUUGAUUAAUGAGGUCGCAUACAAGACAACCUUCUCACACUCACAUGCAUGCAAGGGAUAAUGAAUGUCCUUCUUUGCUAGUACGAGGCAAACACCAUUAAUUUUGUCUCGAUUAGUGUUUGUGGCCUUGUAUAGUUGCAUAUUGUAAUUCUCAUUGUGGUCUUGUAUAUAAAAAUAGAGGGAGUAAUAUUGUACAAAAUCUGUCGACUGCUCAGUAGCUCUGAAGACCCUGCUACCUACAAUGCAUUGCACAGUUCUGUUUUCUGGACAUAGACUUGAUCACACCAGAAGUAUCAUCCAUCUUGAAAUUGGACUGAAAAUAGAGAAUAUCAGCAGUUGUUUGGCAAUGAGCAUCUAUGCAGAUGAUUCUUGAUUUUGCUUCUUUUGGCCCUUCUUAUCUUAUGCCCUUGCUGCCAUAUGGCCCAUCAGGAUACAAAUCCAUGCUUUUACUGAACAUACUCUUAAUUAUGUACUCGGAAACUGUUAGUUCGAACUUCAUAAAAAUUGCAGUAACUAUUUCCUAAACGAGCCAUCCAUUCUCUGGAAUCGACAGGUCCCCUGGAAAUGCCUAUGUUGAAGGUGAUGCCUCAAGUGCGAGCUAUUUCUUGGCUGGUGCUGCCAUCACCGGAGGGACUGUGACUGUUGAAGGUUGCGGCACCACCAGUUUGCAGGUAAAAUUCUACUAUCCAAUUUUACCCUUUUGGUUGAGCAUACUUGACAUAUUACAUUAUUGAAUGUAUACCAUUUUCAACCAAACAUGCUUUAAGUGGAUAUUCGUAGCUGAAUCUCUCAAACUGCUGUAUUCUGUAAGUGGCUUCCAUGUGCUGUCAUUCUCCUCCGUAACGAUGUGUAAUAUUUCAGGGUGAUGUGAAAUUCGCUGAGGUACUUGAAAUGAUGGGAGCUAAGGUUACAUGGACUGACACUAGUGUAUCUGUUACUGGCCCACCGCGUCAGCCCUUUGGAAGGAAACACUUAGGCCUUCUUUGGAUUGGAGGAUUUUCACAGGAUUUUCAUGGAAUAUCAAUCCUCAGGAUUGUUUCCUAUGAAACGCAUUUGGAUCAAAGGAUUGGGCCAUUAAAAUUCCUCAGAAUUGGGUCUUCAAGGUGUUGAUUCCAAAGGAAUUUACACAUGAGGUCCGACCUCUGGAAAAAAUCCACAGGAUUGGCUAUGUCAUGGCAAUCAAAUCCUCCAUUUUUCCUAUUCCUUUGUUUUGCAAAUCCUGUGAUCCAAAGAAGCCCUUAAAGGCUGUCGAUGUCAACAUGAACAAAAUGCCUGACGUGGCCAUGAUUCUUGCUGUUGUUGCCCUCUUUGCUGAUGGUCCAACUGCUAUCAGAGAUGGUAAACUUUCUAUGGCCUUUCAUACCUCACUAGUAGAAAACAGGGCUUUGGUCCAGGCCGGGUUAGCCCAUUAGUUCCGGUUCAGUCCAGAAUCGGGACCAAUAUGGGCAUUGGUCCCGGUUCGUGAGCCCAGGGGGCCGGCCGGGCCACGUGGGCCAUUGGUCCCGGUUCAUCUGGACCUUUUGGUCCCGGUUGGUGGGAUGAACCGGGACCAAUGGGCCUCGCUCCUGGCCCACCACCAUUGGUCCCAGUUGGUGGCUUGAACCGGGACCAAAGGCUCCCCUUCAGUCCCGGCUCAUGUCAUCAACCAGGACCAAUGAGGUGCCUAUAUAUACCCCUCGUUCGCGAGCAGAGCACCCCAGUGCUCUGUUUUUCUCUGGUCGAGGGGGAGAGGGCUUGGUGGUGCUCUAGCUCACCUCCUAUGCACACAAGGUGUUCGAUGGAAUGCCCGAGCCACACUACUUAAGCUUUCUCCUCUCCAAGCUCGACCUCCAAGCUCCAUUUUCCAUAAUAUUUGUCUAGGUUUAGCGGUCCGUCACGCCCCGUCCCCGUCUUCACCGCCGUCGAUCACCCGCGCCGAGCUCAUCGCCGGCACCACCGUGGUGAGCCUCUUGUUUUAUCUUCUUUCUGAAAGGAAAACUAUUCUUACUUGUAUGUUUACAUAGAUACUUGUAUUAUUUUCUUACUUUUAUUAUUGCAUCUUAUAUAGUGCGAUGGUUUUGGUAUCCGCCCCCGUCGGCCCUCGUCCUGUCUAUGAUUUGGACCUCGUAAUAUCAUGACCAUUAGUCCCUGGCCCAUGCCAACUUUCAACUUUCUAAAACUAAUGGCACUAACAGAAAGUUUAUAAUUUUGCUCCUCGCCCCUGGCCCAUGACCAUUAGUCCCGGUUUGUGCCACAAACCGGGACUAAAGGGUUGGUCCUCGUUGCGAGCAGAGUUUAGUCCCACCUCGCCAACCUAAGGGGGCUCACACCGGUUUAUAAGUCCUUCCCUCUCUGCCUUGUUGAGCUCCUCUCAAAGUGAAAAUAGAUGCCCUAAUAGAGAAAAGUUUAACCUAAAUUCAUAGUGAAUUUCUCUGAAAUUCAUAGAAAUUUACUAGGAAUUUAGGUUGAAUUUUCUCUAUAAGCGCAUCUAUUCUCAUUUAUUUAGUAAGUUAAUCACAAACUUGUGAUUCAAACAAUUUUCAAAGAAUUCAAAUUUUAACUAUUCAAAUUUGAAAACUAAUGGCACUAACAGAAAGUUUAUAAUUUUUCUAAAACUAAUGGCACUAACAGAAAGUUUAUAAUUUUGCUAACCAAAAAGCAAACAGAAUUAAAAAUUAAAGCAAAAUUCAAAAGAAAAUAAAUAAUGCAAAAACAANNNNNNNNNNNNNNNNNNNNNNNNNNNNNNNNNNNNNNNNNNNNNNNNNNNNNNNNNNNNNNNNNNNNNNNNNNNNNNNNNNNNNNNNNNNNNNNNNNNNNNNNNNNNNNNNNNNNNNNNNNNNNNNNNNNNNNNNNNNNNNNNNNNNNNNNNNNNNNNNNNNNNNNNNNNNNNNNNNNNNNNNNNNNNNNNNNNNNNNNNNNNNNNNNNNNNNNNNNNNNGCAGAAAAAAAACAAAAAAACAGGAAAAAAAUAGCAACAAUAAGUAUUUUGUUGUAAGUAGAAACAAAAUAAAAUAAAUAAAGCAACAAAGAAAACAAAAAAACAAAAAAAGUGUUUUCAAAUUUGAAAACUAAUGGCAUUAACAAAAAGUUUAUAAUUUUUCUAAAACUAAAAGCAUAAAGAAUUAAAAAAUAAAGCAAAAAACAAAAGAAAAUAAAUAAAGCAACAAAAAACAAAAAAAAUGCCACCUACUGGGCCCCCACGGCCUGAAUACGACUAGAAACCCAUCCAAGGGCUAGGAUUCAGGCCCGCAGGAGGCCCAGUAGGCCCACAGGCAUAGCAGUGACAAUUAGGCCCGUAAGCCUGCAACAGAGAGGAGCUCGAGAGGGGUGCGACAGUGGGGCUUAUAAACCACUGCGCACCCCUCUCAACUAGCGAGGUGGGACUAUUUCGACGCAGCAGCCGCACAAGGCCUUUGGCACCAACCGGGGCUAAAGGGGGCCAUUGGUCACGGUUCGUGGCACAAACCGUGACCAAUGCCCCCCUUUAGUCCCGGUUGGUGCCANNNNNNNNNNNNNNNNNNNNNNNNNNNNNNNNNNNNNNNNNNNNNNNNNNNNNNNNNNNNNNNNNNNNNNNNNNNNNNNNNNNNNNNNNNNNNNNNNNNNNNNNNNNNNNNNNNNNNNNNNNNNNNNNNNNNNNNNNNNNNNNNNNNNNNNNNNNNNNNNNNNNNNNNNNNNNNNNNNNNNNNNNNNNNNNNNNNNNNNNNNNNNNNNNNNNNNNNNNNNNNNNNNNNNNNNNNNNNNNNNNNNNNNNNNNNNNNNNNNNNNNNNNNNNNNNNNNNNNNNNNNNNNNNNNNNNNNNNNNNNNNNNNNNNNNNNNNNNNNNNNNNNNNNNNNNNNNNNNNNNNNNNNNNNNNNNNNNNNNNNNNNNNNNNNNNNNNNNNNNNNNNNNNNNNNNNNNNNNNNNNNNNNNNNNNNNNNNNNNNNNNNNNNNNNNNNNNNNNNNNNNNNNNNNNNNNNNNNNNNNNNNNNNNNNNNNNNNNNNNNNNNNNNNNNNNNNNNNNNNNNNNNNNNNNNNNNNNNNNNNNNNNNNNNNNNNNNNNNNNNNNNNNNNNNNNNNNNNNNNNNNNNNNNNNNNNNNNNNNNNNNNNNNNNNNNNNNNNNNNNNNNNNNNNNNNNNNNNNNNNNNNNNNNNNNNNNNNNNNNNNNNNNNNNNNNNNNNNNNNNNNNNNNNNNNNNNNNNNNNNNNNNNNNNNNNNNNNNNNNNNNNNNNNNNNNNNNNNNNNNNNNNNNNNNNNNNNNNNNNNNNNNNNNNNNNNNNNNNNNNNNNNNNNNNNNNNNNNNNNNNNNNNNNNNNNNNNNNNNNNNNNNNNNNNCACAUGUAUCUCACACCGACGAUACUUUCUAUUUAGGGUUUCCUCUACCGUUCGACGACCCUGACCCUCGACGACCCUCGUUUCCGAUAAAAUAAAGAGGAAGAAGAAGAAAAAAAAGAGAAGAAGAGAAGAAGAAGAAAAAAGAGAGGAGAAUUCACAUCCACGUCCCACAAGUGGCGCGGGCUUCGACGCCCACGUCACUUGUGGGACGUGGAUGUAGUGUCCAACACCGACGACCACAUGUAUCUCACACCCACGAUACUUGCUAUUUAGGGUUUCCUCUAUCGCUCGGUGACCCUCAAUGACCCUCGUUCCCGAUAAAAAAAGAGGAAGAAGAAGAAAAAAAGAGGAGAAGAAAGAAUAGAGGAGUUAGAACUCCUCUAUUCUUUCUUCUCCUCUUUUUUUCUUCUUCCUCUUCUUUUUUUAUCCUUGAAGCGUUGUCGAGGCCACCCCAAACCCUAGAGAAGCAGCGUCGAGGCCACUAAUUAAUAUUAGUUCUACGUUUUUGCCACUAAUAUAUCCAUCUGUCAUGUUUGAAUAAUAAUUGCCAUGUUGUCAAUAUUUGUAGAAACUAUGGACACCGCCCGAGACGAAGUACAAGAAGAGUUGUUGGGGGACAUAAUCACACGAGGAAGUGAUGCCAUCUGCUCGUUGUUUCUCAAUGAGACCGAUGGUCUGGAAGCAGCUGAUUAUGAUGGCUCCGGUGACCUAAUGCCGGUGCAAGAAGGAGACCGUGAGGACGGCUCCGGUGACCCAAUGCCGGUGCAAAAAGGAGACCGUGAUGACGUCUCCGGUGACCGAACCGAGUCCGGCCAGGUAUAUAUAUUAGUUAAGCUUUUGCUGACUAGCUAAUUGAUGCAUUCAUUGUUUUGGUAUGUACACAUAUUAAUUAAGUAUUUGUUGUUUUUUCUAGCCCUCCGGAUCGAGCACAACUUCGGUAAAGAGACGAGGCCCGAAGAAAAAGUUGAGCUCGGAUGAAAAGUUUGAGAUCAUAGCAAUCACGCCCGAUGGCCAACCGAUUGAACCCCUCCGGACAAAGAGCACAUUUGUUGCUCAGUGCGGGGUUUUGGUUAGGGACAAGAUCCCAAUCAGCAUCUAGCAAUGGUUUAAGCCGGCUACAGAAGACCCUGAGGUGUCUUAUGUCAAUGAUAUGCAGAAAAAUGAUCUUUGGACUGAGCUGAAGUCAAAUUUCACCCUACCGCCAGAGGAUAAUCCAGAGAACCCAGUUAAAGAGCAAUUAAUCAAGUCUUUUGCUCUUAAGAGGAUGGUAGAACUAUUCAGGAGGUGGAAGAAAGAGCUGAAUAAGUUUGUCGAAAAUAAUGAGACACUAGAAUUCAAGGGCAGAUAUGAGAAUAUCAGAGAUCACUGGCCCGCAUUUGUGGCCCACAAGACAUCGGAAAAGAGUAAGAAGAUGUCGGCGACAAACAAGCAAAAUGCUGCGAAGAAGAAGCAUCACCAUCGCACGGGGUCAGGUGGCUACCUCGUAGCCCGGCCUAAGUGGGCCAAGACUGAGAAUGAUCUGGUUGAUAAAGGGAUCGAACCAGAGACAAUUAACUGGCCAGACCAUUUCCGGACUUGGUUCUUCGGGGCUGGCGGAACCUUGGACCCUGUAACAGGGAAGUGCAUUUGGACGAACGAUUAAAUGGACAUACCAGUCAGGAAGCUUCAACACUAUAUCAAAGCAGCGCAGCAAGGGACGUUCUUUCCAGACAGAGAGAACAACGAGCUCACAAUGGCCCUUGGGAAUCCUGAGCACCCUGGACGGACACGAGGCACGCUAGGCUCCAUUCCGUGAAAGGUUGGGUUUCCGGACGCAGGCGGUUACAAAUCCCAUGAGAGGAGGAAAAAAGUGUAGCAGACCCAAAUGCAGGUGCUGCAAGCAAGGGUACAAGCGAUAGAGGAACGAGAAGCAAAUCGCAGCAAAUGUACUGCCGAAGCUUCCCCCGAAGCUAGCCCGCCAUCUCAGCGGAGAAGCAGCGUGGCUUCCACCGAGCUGCUUCAGCCGGAGCAUGCCUUGACGGCUCCUGCCAGCUAUCCCGUGGAUGCUAUCACGAAGUCUCAAAAUUGCCACCUUAUGACGCAAUGGAUGAAUUUGAAGGUCAAGGCGGCUGUUGGCUCUGUUUAUCCUACUGAACCCGGUACAACUUUUCACUGCCGGCCGAUUCCAGAAGGAUAUGCUAGGGUGAUGGUGGAUGAAAUAACGGAGGGAUUUGAGGACCUCCAGCUUGACCACCCUACCGGUGAAGGGGAGACUAGGCUGGGGUCUGCUCUGAAGAUUCUAUGCCUAUGGCGGAAGGAGCUCAUCAACCUUCCGAACUAGACGCCUCCGCCUCCUCCUCCUCCUCCGGCAAGUCAGGGCACUCCGCCUCCUCCACCGCCUCCUCCUCCGGCGAGUCAGGGCACUCCGCCUCCUCCACCGCCUCCUCGUCCGGCGAGUGACGAUCAGGGCACUCGACCGGCUCCUUCUCCAGCGCGUGGCGGCACUCCGCCUCCUUCUACGCCUGCGCCGACGCGCCCGAGCAGCCAGCCUCCUCCUUCUCCGCCUCGUCAGCAAGGGCGGAAGAGACCUGCCGCCGCUCUGGCUGCUCCGGCGCGUCGUAGUCCUUCUCCUCCGCCUCGUAAGCAAGUAAAGAAGACAACCACUCCGUCUGCUUGGCCGGCGUCUAGCAGUACAGCCAGAGGCGGGAGGACAUACAGAUUUGGUCCUUCUCUGAAGACUCCAGAGAAGUUACCAUACGAUUUUAGCGAUUUUGUGGAGAAGUUGCGAUUCUUCCGAGUUCUCUCAUCAUGGUGUCUGCUGGAGUUUUGGUCAAGGGUCAAGAGAUCCGUCUCGGCACUCUCACCUUCAUCGCCGACGACUCCGCAUGGCUCCAGGAGGCUCCACUCGACGUAGACGCGCUCCCCGUCCGCGGUGCGACGCAUUUUCGCGCAUGUGUCCGCGGCGUUCUGCUGCGGCAACCGUCGACCCAGUAUCGGUCGGCUCCUCCAUCGUCCACCCUCCCGGUCUCCCGCCAGCGCAAGCGCUCAGGCCGGUCGAGGCUUCAGCGAUGGGUGAGUCACGCGGUGGCUCGCCAAUCGGCCACUACACAAGUUGCGGCAAUCGAGCCCAACGAAUCUCUCUACGGCUUGUUCGAUCAGUCGACUGGCUCCGGAGAGACCGCAUCCGAGUGCGGAAGCAGUGAUCCAGCGGCGGAAAUCUUGAUGGUCGACGGGCCCCGCAGCCCUCCUGGCUUCGCCCGUGGUGGUGGAGCAGGUGACGACGGCGACCCUGCACGAGACUACGAAGAGUACCAGCCCGAGCCACUCGACUCUCUGCAAAGAGAAGAGCUUCGCCGCAGGAACGAGGAUCCCCUGCGUAUUCCCAUCGCAGGAGAAACCCCCGAGGCUCGUGCCUUGGAGGAGGCGCGUCUGGCCAAUUUGGCCGAGCGCACUCGACUGGAGAACCUUCAGCGAGCACUCGACGAGCGCGCGCGGCAACGAGUUCCCGACACCAGUCGACGUCAACUCUUCCCGCCGACUCAGGUAUAUCGAACCCCAAUUCAGAAUUUAGCAGCUGCGACCCGUAUAGCAGAGUCCAUUCAGCCUUCGCAGUCGGAAGCUGGCAGAGGUUUGCUGCAGAUCAGGGAUCUGCUCCGGGCAGCAGGAGAUCAGAAUUCAGCCGUGUCUCAGUCGCGCAACAGAAUUCACAGUCGAUCUGUCACUGUGAAUACGGUUCAGUCGGCUCACAGCCCCAGAUCGCCUCCGCGGCGCGAAAGGCGUGAGAAUCGGCGAGAUCAAUAUGGCGACAGACUCGACCGAGAUGAUAGGCGUCGAGUGCCCUAUUCCCCUCCGAGGGGUGGGUCUUACGCUCCUCGGCAGCCAGAUGAUAGGCGUCAGUACAGUACAGGGCGUAGGGUUCCAGUUGACCCCAGAGAGCCAGGCUUCGACGCGCGAUCCAUUAUCGUGCAAGGGUUGGUCGACCGGAACAGAGCCCAUCGAGGCGCACUCGACAGAGAUGUACCCACGAGCAGUCGAGUACAUGUUUCUGGUCCUGAAUGUUUCAGCAGAGCUAUCAGAGCCGCAGUUAUCCCCCCCAAUUUCAGGUUGGCAACAGGAGUCAGCAAGUUCACUGGUGAGUCUAAGCCUGAAACUUGGCUUGAAGACUACCGAGUGGCAGUUCAGAUCGGUGGUGGGAACGACGAGGUGGCCAUGAAGCAUUUGCCCCUCAUGUUGGAAGGUUCUGCCAGGGCAUGGUUGACUCAAUUACCUCCUAGCAGCAUUUACACUUGGGAAGAUCUGUCCCGAGUGUUCGUCAGAACGUUUGAAGGGACUUGCAAGCGGCCAGCGGGAUUGACAGAGUUGCAAGUCUGCGUGCAGAAAACUAAUGAGACUCUCAGAGAGUAUAUUCAGAGGUGGAUCACUUUGCACCACACUGUGGAAAAUGUCUCUGAUCAUCAGGCAGUAUGCGCCUUCAAAGACGGCGUCAAGAACAGAGAACUGAGUUUGAAAUUUGGUCGAACCGGUGACAUGACCUUGAGUCGGAUGAUGGAGAUUGCUACCAAGUACGCCAACGGCGAAGAAGAAGACCGACUCCGAAGCGGCAAGCACAAGCCGAGUCAGUCGGAAAAAGGAAACACCAGUCGGAAACAGAAGCGGAAGGCUGAACCGGCAGCUCCUGGAGAGGCUCUAGCCGUGACUCAAGGAAAGUUUAAGGGGAAACCAAAAGGAUCCUGGAACCCCAAGAAGGUAAAGGAUAAAGAAGGGAACGACGUGAUGGAUAUGCCGUGUCACAUUCACACGAAGAAAGAUGAAGAGGGGAAUAUCAUUUACCCAAAGCACACCACUCGCCAAUGUCGACUCCUGAUCCAGCAGUUUCAGGGAAAACAGUCUAAGGACAAGGAGAAGGAGUCGGACAAGGCCGAAGACAAAGAGGACAGUGAGGGAGGAUAUCCGCAUAUCAACUCCACUCUGAUGAUCUUUGCAGAUGUGGAAAGCAGAAGUCGACUGAAAGUGAUUAACCGAGAGGUGAACAUGGUUGCCCCAGCAAAGGCAAAUUAUCUGAAGUGGUCUCAAACACCCAUCACAUUCGACCAAACUGAUCACCCGACUCAUAUUGCCACCCCCGGGAGGCAAGCUUUGGUGGUCGAUCCAGUUGUCGAAGGCACUCGACUGACAAAGGUGCUGAUGGAUGGUGGAAGUGGGCUGAACUUAUUGUAUGCAGACACAUUGAAAGGUAUGGGCAUUCCGAUGUCCCGACUGAGCACUAGUAACAUGAGCUUCCAUGGAGUUAUACCAGGGAAGAAGGCCGAGUCACUCGGCCAGAUAGCUUUGGACGUAGUGUUUGGUGAUUCGAAGCAUUUUCGCAAAGAAAAGUUGACGUUUGAGGUCGUGGAUUUUCAAAGUGCAUAUCAUGCCAUUUUGGGGAGACCAGCCUAUGCACGGUUCAUGGCUCGACCAUGUUACGUGUACCUCAAAUUGAAGAUGCCCUGUCCCAAAGGUGUGAUCACUGUCACCGGUGAUAGGAAAAAGGCAGAGGAGUGCUUUCAGAAGGGCUCCAAGAUUGCCGAUUCCCAAGUGACAGCGGUCGAGUUCGAAGAAUACAAGCAAAACGCAGAUCCGAGUGACUUGCUGCGAUCCAAGAAGCCCGCCACAGAGUCUGCAUUCCAGUCGUCCGGUGAGACGAAGCCUGUUCACAUUCACCCAACCGACCCCGAAGCAGCUCCGACCCGCAUCUCCACAACACUCGACCCAAAAUAGGAAGAAGCGCUCAUCCAGUUCCUCCGUGAGAACUGGGACAUUUUUGCAUGGAAGCCCGCUGACAUGCCAGGUGUUCCCAGGGGACUGGCUGAGCAUCACCUAAGAGUCGACUCGUCUGCAAAACCAGUCAAAGAGCAUCUUCGGCGGUCCGCCGUCCAGAAGAGAAAGGCCAUCGGUGAAGAAGUGGCUCGACUGUUGGCGGCAGGAUUUAUCCGAGAGAUAUACCACUCCGAGUGGCUCGCUAAUGUCGUCAUGGUUCCUAAGAAGGACAAGUCGCUCCGAAUGUGCAUUGAUUUCAAGCACAUCAACCGGGCCUGCCCGAAAGAUCACUUUCCUCUCCCUCGCAUAGAUCAAAUUGUUGACUCGACCGCGGGAUGCGAGAGGUUGUCUUUUUUAGAUGCUUACUCCGGGUACCACCAGAUCCGUCUGUACGGGCCCGAUGAGGUAAAAACAGCUUUCAUCACUCCAUUCGGGUGCUUCUGCUAUAUCACUAUGCCAUUCGGCCUCAAGAAUGCCGGAGCCACAUUUAUGCGAAUGAUUCAGAAGUGUCUACUCACCCAAAUCAGUCAGAAUGUGGAAGCUUAUAUGGAUGAUAUUGUUGUCAAGUCACGAAAAGGUUCCGACCUGCUCGCUGACCUCGCCGAAACAUUUGCCAACCUCAGAAGGUAUGAUAUCAAGCUCAAUCCAUCAAAGUGCACAUUUGGAGUUCCUGGUGGCAAGUUACUCGGUUUUCUCGUUUCCGAACGGGGAAUCGACGCUAACCCAGAGAAGAUUGGCACUAUUCUCCGAAUGAAACGCCCUGUGCGAGUGCACGAUGUCCAGAAGCUUACUGGAUGCUUGGCCGCAUUAAGUCGAUUCAUCUCACGACUCGGUGAAAAGGCACUGCCUCUUUACCGACUGAUGAAGAAGGCUGACAAGUUCGAGUGGACUCCAGAAGCUGAUGCAGCGUUUGCCGAGCUAAAAGCUCUGCUCUCCACCUAGCCGGUGCUUGCUGCUCCAAUCAGCAAAGAGCCUCUGUUGCUCUACAUCGCAGCCACAGGACAAGUCGUCAGUACUGUGCUAACGGUCGAGCGGGAAGAAGAAGGAAAAGCUCUCAAAGUUCAGCGCCCAGUGUAUUAUUUGUCUGAAGUCUUGACUCCAUCCAAGUAGAGAUAUCCUCAUUAUCAGAAGCUUGUGUAUGGAAUAUACAUGACCACAAAGAAGGUUGCUCAUUAUUUCUCUGACCAUUCCAUCACAGUCGUCAGCGACGCUCCACUAUCAGAGAUUUUGCACAACAGAGAUGCAACUGGUCGAGUGGCCAAAUGGGCGAUUGAACUUCUUCCCCUUGAUAUCAAGUUUGAGGCAAAGAAAGCCAUUAAGUCCCAGGCGAUAGCAGAUUUCCUCGCCGAGUGGAUUGAACAACAGCAACCGACUGAAGUUCACUCGGAGCAUUGGACCAUGUUUUUCGAUGGCUCUAAGAUGUUGAAUGGUUCCGGUGCUGGGGUUGUCCUGGUUUCCCCCAGAGGAGAUAAGCUCAGAUAUGUGCUCCAGAUUCACUUUGAUUCCUCCAACAAUGAGGCAGAAUAUGAGGCCCUCCUAUAUGGGUUGCGCAUGGCCAUUUCACUCGGCGUCCGUCGCCUAAUGGUCUAUGGCGACUCGGAUUUAGUGGUCAAUCAGGUGAUGAAAGAGUGGGACGUGAGAAGCCCAGCCAUGACUGGAUACUGCAGUGCAGUGAGGAAGCUGGAGAAGAAGUUCGAGGGGUUGGAGCUCCAUCAUAUACCCCGACUGAAAAAUCAAGCAGCUGAUGAUCUAGCAAAGAUAGGUUCCAAGAGAGAAGCCAUUCCGAGUGGUGUGUUCUUGGAGCAUAUACACACUCCGUCAGUCAAAGAGGAUCCUUUCACCGAAGAAACUCCGCAGCCCAAGAGCGCCACAGAUCCGACUGAAGUUGAAGUCCCAGCGGUGGUCGACUUGAUCAUGGAGGUUUUGGUGGUCAUUCCCGACUGGACGAUUCUGUAUGUCGCAUAUAUCUUGAGGAAAGAGCUUCCGGAGGAUGAAGAAGAGGCUCGACAGAUCGUCCGUCGAUCUAAGGCCUUUACCGUAAUCAAAGGACAAUUAUACAGAGAAAGCGCGACUGGAGUCGGUCAGAAGUGCAUAACACCAGAAGAAGGUCGACUCAUCCUCAAUGAUAUUCACUCGGGGACCUGUGGUCAUCAUGCGUCCUCUCGGACCAUCGUGGCCAAAGCAUACCGAGCCGGAUUUUACUGGCCCAAGGCGAAUGAGAUGGCAAAAGAGAUAGUAGAUAAGUGCGAGGGAUGUCAGUUCUACUCGAAUAUGUCGCACAAGCCUGCGUCAGCUUUGAAGACCAUCCCACUCGUCUGGCCUUUUGCAGUUUGGGGGCUGGACAUGAUCGGUCCUUUGAGAACAGGACGAAGUGGCUUCACGCAUGUACUGGUGGCAGUCGACAAGUUCACCAAGUGGAUCGAGGCUAAACCAAUCAAGAGCCUUGACACCGGUACUGCUGUUAGCUUCAUCAGGGAACUAAUAUUCAGAUAUGGAGUUCCGCACAGCAUCAUUACGGAUAAUGGGUCGAACUUUGACUCAGAGGAAUUCAGAGCUUUCUGCGACUCCCAGGGCACACAGGUCGACUACGCAUCAGUCGCCCAUCCGCAGUCGAAUGGACAAGCAGAGCGAGCUAAUGGACUGAUUCUCAAGGGACUGAAGCCUCGACUGAUGCGUGAUCUCAAACACGCGGCUGGAGCUUGGGUCGACGAACUUCCAUCUGUACUCUGGGGACUGCGGACCACGCCUAAUCGGUCGACCGGAAGAACUCCAUUCUUCUUGGUCUAUGGAGCUGAAGCAGUCUUGCCGAGUGAUCUUCUCCACAAUGCUCCUCGAGUUGAAAUCUACAACGAAGCAGAAGCUGAACAAGCGCGGCAGGACGCAGUCGACCUUUUAGAGGAAGAAAGGGAGAUGGCUCUGAUCCGGUCGACCAUCUACCAACAAGAUCUGCGCCGUUUCCACGCCCGAAAUGUGAGAGGUCGAGCCUUCCAGGAAGGGGAUUUGGUUCUCCGAGUGGAUCAGCACAAACCACACAAGCUUGCUCCUUCUUGGGAAGGCCCCUUCAUCGUCACCAAGGUUCUCCACAACGGGGCGUACCGUCUUUACAACGUCGAGCAUAAUAUCGACGAGCCCCGAGCUUGGAACGCGGAGCUACUCCGCCCAUUUUACACUUAAGUUUUAUCACUCGGAUGAGUUGCAACAAAGUACUUCUGUAGUUCAUGGACCUCAAAAUAAUAGUGUCAUAGUUCCUCCAUAAUUUCUGUCACUUUUUAUUUUUGUCCACAAUAAAAUUCCCCCUCAGUGGGUGACUUAGCCGCGAAUCCGUUUCGCCUAAGUUUGUAAAAAUCCUACCGAGUGGUGAGCCAGACUCUCACUCGGAGGCUUAGCUGCAAAUCCGUUUCGCCUAAGUUAUAAAAAUCCUACCGAGUGGUAAGCCUGACUUCCACUCGGAGGCUUAGCUGCAGCCUCGUGCUCGCCUAAGUUGUAAAAAAUCCUACCGAGUGAAGAGCAACCCUCCCACUCGGGGGCUUAGCUGCAGCCCUGUGCUCGCCUAAGUUAUAAAAAUCCUACCGAGUGAAGAGCAAUCCUCUCACUCGGAGGCUUAGCUGCAGCCUCGUGCUCGCCUAAGUUAUAAAAAUCCUACCGAGUGGUAAGCCAGCCUUCCACUCGGAGGCUUAGCUGCAGUCUGAGCACUCGCCUAAGUUAUAAAAAUCCUACCGAGUGGGGAGCAACCCUCCCACUCGGGGGCUUAGCUGCAGUGCAAGCACUCGCCUAAGUUAUCAAAAUCCUGCCGAGUGGCGAGCCAGACUCUCACUCGGAGGCUUAGCUGUGAAUCCGUUUCGCCUAAGUUAUCAAAUUCCUACCGAGUGGUAAGCCAGCCUUCCACUCGGAGGCUUAGCUGCAGCCUUGUGCUCGCCUAAGUUAUAAAAAUCCUACCGAGUGAAGAGAAACCCUCUCACUCGGGGGCUUAGCUGCAGUCCAAGCACUCGCCUAAGUCGUGAAAAUCCUACCGAGUGAAGAGCAAUCCUCUCACUCGGAGGCUUAGCUGCAGCCUCGUGCUCGCCUAAGUUAUCAAAAUCCUACCGAGUGGUAAGCCAGCCUUCCACUCGGAGGCUUAGCUGCAGUCUAAGCACUCGCCUAAGUUAUAAAAAUCCUACCGAGUGGAGAGCAACCCUCCCACUCGGGGGCUUAGCUGCAGUGCAAGCACUCGCCUAAGUUAUCAAAAUCCUGCCGAGUGAAGAGCAAUCCUCUCACUCGGGGGCUUAGCUGCAGUGCAAGCACUCGCCUAAGUUAUCAAAAUCCUGCCGAGUGAAGAGCAAUCCUCUCACUCGGGGGCUUAGCUGCAGCCAUGUGCUUGUCUAAGUUAUCAAAAUCCUACCGAGUGGUAAGCCAGCCUUCCACUCGGAGGCCUAGCUGCAGCCUCGUGCUCGCCUAAGUUAUGAAAAUCCUACCGAGUGAAGAGCAAUCCUCUCACUCGGAGGCUUAGCUGCAGCCUCGUGCUCGCCUAAGUUAUCAAAAUCCUACCGAGUGAAGAGCAACCCUCUCACUCGGAGGCUUAGCUGCAGCCCUGUGCUCGCCUAAGGUAUAAAAAUCCUGCCGAGUGGAGAGCAACCCUCUCACUCGGGGGGCUUAGCUGCAGCCCAGUGCUCGCCUAAGUAGACUAAAGAAUAAGUCGAUUGCAGCACAGGCACCUUGCUUUGAACCUGCAAAAGACAUUCCGAGCCGAAGGCAAUCGUAUUCAAGCACCAAAUUCAAGUUUGAAUCGAUAUCUAAAGGAACCGAAAGUGCUCAGGUGUCAAGCCUGUUAAAGUUUGUCGGUUACAAUUCCACUCGGCAUACCGAGGCAAAUUUAAAGCGUCGAGCCAGAAGAAGUUUUUUACCCCUCCUGUGGAGGGCUGGAAGGUGCAACAAAUUCAUCAAGGUCAAUUCCGUCGGCGAUCCGAGUGGCAGCUGCAAGGAAAGUCUCCAUAAAGGACCUGAAGUCGUGCUUCUUGGUAUUGGCCACCCGAAGGGCCGCCAGCUUCUCUUCUCGCGCAUCUUUGCAGUGGACUCGGGCCAGACACAGAGCGACAUCUGCACCACACCGAGCCGAGGACUUCUUCCACUCCUGCACUCGACCAGGGAUCGUGUUCAAGCGGGCCAUCAACGACUCAAGGUCAUUCUGAAGCGUCUCCUCAGGCCAGAGCGUCGAGUCGAUGCGAGAUGUGGCGGCCUUCAGCCUUGCGAGAUAGUCCACGACAGCUGCAACACGAGACUCCAGUCGGAAAACAUCCAUGGCAACUUCGUCGUUCACCGGAGAAUUGACGGGGUCAAGGUUUGGCUCCAGUCGGCUGGUUUCUUCUUCAAAGUUUUGACAAAAUUCUGCAAGGGUGAUCACUAAGUCAAGGGGAUAGUCGAAUGGAAAAGGCCACAAUUGGAAAUAUUUGCCAAACAUGGAGGUUUACCUUCAAGCAUAAGAAACAGCUUCUUGGCAAGGCCACUCAGGAAGGCCUCCAAUUCAGUUUUCUUCUCAGUCAAUUUGCUGACUUGGACGGUCAGGGCAGCUUUAUCAAUUUUCAGUCGACUGACCUCCUUGUUGGCAAUCCCAAGAGCAGCUUUCAGAUUGGUAUUGUCUUGUUCGAGCUUGGUGACUGAAGCUAACUUCUCGUCAGCAAGCUUGAUCUUCUCAGCUAGCUCAAGGUCUUUCUUCUGCUGGGCCUCCCUUACCUUACCUGCAAGUUACAGCAAGAUCAGAUUUUGAAACAAGCAAGGGGAAAAGCAGUCGUCAGGGUCUCACCAAACAUACCUUCGGUCUCCUCCUUUGCCUUUGUCAGCUUCUCCUGAACCAGCUUCAAGCUCAGCUCGACUUGAGUAUGUUUUUGUUCCAGCUCUGAGUAGCGAGCCACAAGAUCACAAGAGUUCUGCGAAGAACCAAUCGACUAAAUGUCAAAAAUAAUUCACUUCCGAGUGAAAAGAGAAAAACACACGUUUCUAAGACUACAGCCGAAUACAAGCAUUCGACCGUAGUCUCGGGGACUACACCCAGUGGGUGCACUCAGCGUGCCCCCACUAAUCCUGUUGAAGACAAAGUCGACCAGUCGACCUCAAAAGAAAAAAAAGUGUGCGAGAUGCAUUCUCUAAGACUGUGAUCAACUGCAAGCAGUCGACCACAGUCUCGGGGACUACACCCAGUGGGUGCACUCAGCGUGCCCCCACCGGUUUGUGAAAUCCAGUCGACCAGUCGACUGACAGAAAGAUUGACAUUGUAAAGCCUAAGGCCGACUGCCAGCAGUCGACCUUAGCCUUGGGGACUACACCCAGUGGGUGCACUCAGCGUGCCCCCACCGGUUUGUGAAAUCCAGUCGACCAGUCGACUGACAGAAAAAUUGACAUCAUAAAGACUAAGGCCGACUGCCAGCAGUCGACCUUAGCCUUGGGGACUACACCCAGCGGGUGCACUCAGCGUGCCCCCGCUAACACGGAGUUUAUUCGACACACCCAGUGGGUGACUAAUAUAAAUUCCGGAAAAGAAAAGUUUUUGGUAGCAUAUCCAACAGAACAAACAACGGUCGACUGACCUGGACAUUGCUUUGGAGGGCAGAACUGGCGUCAUAAGCUGCCUGGCUCGCGUCCCGGAUGGUCUUCAGCUGCUCCAUCAUGAGUCCCGCCUGGCGUAUCGCCUCCUUCGCUGCGCCAGCUUGGUCCUCUGGGACGUGGUGCGUCGUGAAGAGGGAGGGCUGCUGAGCACUCGUCAGUGGAUUUGCGAAGGACACCGUGUGUCGAGUGGUGGUCUCUUCCUCCACAGUCAGAAUCUCAGGCACCGUCACGUCCUGAGGCACCUUACUGGCGGACGCUUUCCGACUCCUCCUGUGCUUCAGCGGCUCUUCAUCCUCAUCAUCAUCAGGAAGAUUGAUAACAGUAUUGGGCGGAGCUGCAAAGAAGAAUCAGGAUCAGAGGUCGCGAGUCAGUCGACUAAAAACGGUGUUAAGAAUACAGUACCUGGGUUCGAAGUUGCCGCAUCCUCCAUCUCGUGGUCAUCGGCCCGGGCCGAGGUCUCAGAAGUAGCAGCACUGCAACUCCAAAGGAUCAGUCGACUAACUUCAGCGUCGACCAGAAAUAAAGUUCACACAGAAUAAGAAAAUAUGAGCAGCACGGUUACCCUGAUAUGGUCGGGAUGGACACCUUCAUCUUCGGCAAGAGUUUGAUCGGCUUCGACGAGGCCGCCCUGGGCUGCUUCGGCGCCUUUUCAGUCGGCGCUGGAGAGGUGGUCCUAGGGCGCUUGGUCGACUGCGUCGCAACCCCCUUGCCACGUUCAGUCGAAGGGUCGUGGACGAGCUUCGACCACCUUUCCGAGCGCGGUGGCACGACCUCCUCCUCCUCCUCUUCCUCGUCCUCGACGUCGUCUUCAUCACUGACAUCAUCAUCAUCAUCGUCGUCAUCGUCCUCUGCGACAUCCGAGUCCCAUUCCUCCUCUUCCUGGCUCUCGCCUCCGCUCGCCUCGCCCUCCUCAGUCGAAGCUUGUGCCCCAUUGGGCAUCGAGUACAGCUCGGUGAGGGCCUAACAAAUGCCCAGACAAGAAUCAGUCGACCAGUCGGCAGGAUUAACAGAAAUGAAUACGACGAGGGUGCAGUAGAGAGCAGAGCAAGUGUACCUUGUUUGAGUCGCUGUUGUGGUCGAGUGGAGGAACCCUUCUGGCUCCGCGCGGGUUGUCCUUGUUUCCGGUGACGACCGCCAUCCAUCUUUCCAGAGUGACAUCGUCGACUGCUUCUGGAUGGACUCUGGUCUCGUCUUCGGUCCCACAGUACAACCACAUGCAGUGGCUCCGGAACUGGAGAGGCUGGAUGCGACGCCUGAGGAAAACCUCCAAGAGGUCCAUGCCUGUCACUCCCUCCCGAACCAACUGCACCACGCGCUCCAUCAACAUCUUCACGUCGGCUCUCUCCUCCGGAAUCAGCUUCAGAGGGGAAGGCUUGCUCACUCGGUCCAUGGUGAACGGAGGGAGUCCACUCGACUGCCCUGGCGUCGACUGGACCUGGCAGUAGAACCAAGUCGACUGCCAGCCUCUGACGGACUCGGGAAAGGUCAUGGGCGGGAAGGUGCUCUUAUUCCUCACCUGAAUCCCCAGGCCUCCGCACAUUUGGACGACUCGGGUUCUCUCAUCACCUGGGCUCGCCUUCUUCACAGUCUGAGAUCGACACGUGAAUAUAUGUUUGAACAAACCCCAGUGCGGUCGACAGCCCAAGAAACCCUCACACAUGGGCACGAACGCAGCAAGAUAGGCAAUGGAGUUUGGGGUAAAGUGGUGGAGCUGCGCUCCGAAGAAGUUCAAAAAGCCACGAAAGAAAAUACUUGGCGGCAAGGAAAACCCACGAUCAACAUGAGUGGCCAAAAGCACACACUCACCCUCUUCUGGCUGUGGCUGCCACUCAUUCCCCGGCAACCUCGCAGCUCCGUGAGGGAUCAAGCCCUCGUUGGCCAUGUCGAGGAGGUCCUUCUCUGUGAUGGUCGACUGGAUCCAGUCUCCUUGGAUCCAACCCUUCGGCAGGCGGGAUCUGGACGAGGACCCUCCGCGGCUGGUGGAUCUCCCCUUCGCCUUCUCCGACGCCGACGCCUUCUUGGCGCGCUCCAGCGCCGCCGUCUUCUCCUUGGCCAUGGUCGCCGGAGAGAUGCGCGAAGGGAAGUGGUGCGGAGGCGAGAGCGAGCACGCUGAGCUGGGUAGAAGGAAGCAGAGAGAGAGGGAGAAUGCCGGGGCGCAGCACAGAAAUCCUCGCCGGGCGCAUUUAUAAGGUCCCUUCCGAGUGGCUGACAUGUGGGCCCGGUCGAUCUAAUCAUAUCUGAGAGCAGUUAUGCAGGCUGGAUACGUGGCGAAAAAGGCGGCGCGGAGAUCGAGGCGUCUAUGCCCCGUCCCAUCCGAACGCCGUGGUCCGCCCCGCUUCGCGCGCGCCCCCAAAUUUCGCAUCCCGCGGAAUCCGCGAGCAACAAAUCAGUCUGUCAGACGCGGUGUUUCCGGCGAUCCGUCGCUCGGAGAUCGUCGAAGCCCGAAAGAUCACUCGACGCAAAAACAGAAUGGAUCGAGUCGACUGAAGGCAAAAUUGCUCCCUGUCAACGAAGGGAUUCUUUGGUCCAGAACAGCGCACAACCUGAGCACAAAGAUUAAUCGGAAACGACAUCAACUCCUUCUUCACUCGAAGCCUCAAUCCAUUCGGGGGCUAAUGAUGGGGUUAUGUACCUAGGGUAGGGUCAUGGACCUGAUCCAAGUAACUUACCCCAGGACAUCCUUAGAAGAGGUCGCCUUCCAGUCGACCAACGAGGGUUCACUCGACUGGCCUGAAGGACUCGACCACGAAGACUCACUCGACCACCAGGAGGUCAAGAGGCACUCUGCACUGCAACGGCCUGUAAUCAAGUAGACUUUAUUAUAGUAAAGGCCUUUAUGUGGGGCGUUACCAGUAACGCCCCAGACUUAACUCACCUUAAACCCUCUCCUACGUGGGCUGGCUGGGGUCCUGGCGCACUCUAUAUAAGCCACCCCCCUCCACAGGCAGAGGGGUUCGGCACCUUGUAAUCCAUACAUUCAUAAUCCACUCGACCGCCUCCGGGCUCCGAGACGUAGGGCUGUUACUUCUUCCGAGAAGGGCCUGAACUCGUACAUCCUUUGUGCUUACAACCUCUCCAUAGCUAGGACCUUGCCUCUCCAUACCUACCCCCCACUCUACUGUCAGGCUUAGAACCACGACAAGGACCCCGGAGGAGAACGCCGAGAUCGCACGAACCAAAGUGGAUGACUGGUUUCAAGGGUUGAAAGCAAAGAGACAUCCACUUCCGGAGGAGAAGGUAGAUCCGGUGAAAGUGAAGCGCACUCUGGCUGCCCUGACAAAACCACCCAAGUCUCCGCCGAAAGGAAACUAUGAGCGUAUUAUUGGAAAGGAAUUUGCCAAAGCGGAGCGGUCGGGAAGUACUGUCAGUGAUCAAAGGCUGAAAGAACGACGAGCUGGGAAACAAAUUUCCAAGCUCGGCGAACAAGCGAAGCAAUCGUGCCCCCCGCUCAAGGUGCCUAGCCACAACGUCGCUAAUGAUCCGAGGAUGGUGCCCGGUUAUAGCAAUCUUGCAGAUUACCUGCCCGACGAUGUACAUUAUGAACCCAUGGAGGUGCAGAUAUAAAGAUACGAGUACGUGAAGCCUCUCAUCAAAGAUGAAAGAUCUCUAUCAACGAUGAUGCGAAGAUUGCAUGAUUGGUACUUGAAAAUCUGCAGAGACUCUGGGGGGAGAAGUACUUUGUAUGUGAAAGUAAAAAAGGAGCAUGACCUCGUUGGAAUUGAACUGUUGCCUGUUCCAUUUGAGGAGUUUUAUCAGUUUUUCAAUCAAUUGGCCCUCGAUAAAACAACGGUUGCCUGCUACUGUCUGUAAGUAGUACUACUUCUGUCAUUAAGUCUCUCUAUAUAGCUCAGCUCUUUCAUUGCAUGUAUUUAUAAUCAUCAUCACUAUAUUAUGCAGAUUGAAGAUCGCCGAAUUGAAGAAAAGACAAGUCGAUGAUAUUGGGUUCAUUAACACAUAUCUCAUAGAUGCAACUCAGGUUAAAUUUCAUGCCGCAGCUACCGAGGCCAACUUGCUACGAUCGUUGGUGAUAAAUGAAAACAAAGAUAUAAUACUCUUUCCUUACAAUUUCAAGUGAGUGUUACUGUCUUGUGCGUAUUCGGUUUCCCUUAUAUAUUAGUCAAGGUUAUAGUAAUGUAAUUGAUGAGUUAUGCAUGCGUGUGCAGUUUCUACUAUAUUCUCCUAGAGAUUAAGCUUGAGCACGGACUAGUAACCGUCUUAGACUCAAGACGAAAAGAUCCUCAGGACUAUGCAAACAUGACUCAAAUACUCGAGAAGUAAGUUAAAUCGAUCAUUAUCCACCAUAUCAGCAACUUUGUUCAUUUCCUGAUAUAUCAAGUAAUUGUUUUCUUUGUCCGGCAGGGUUUGAAGAAAAUUCACCAGAAAAGCUCCGGGACUGCCGAAGGAGCUGCAAUUUAGACACCCGAAAGUAAGUACUAUAGUAGCAUGUUCCGCGCAUCUACUAGUCAUUCAAGCGCUAAUUUUAUCAAUACCAUUUGACAUUCUUGCUUAUCAGUUUGAUUGACCUUUAUUUCUUGUAAAGUGGUUGUGGCAGGAACAAGGGAAUGAUUUCUGUGGAUACUACGUUUGCGAGUCCAUCCGCCACACGACCUGUGAGCGGGGCUACACUGACGAACAAUAUGAAGUACGUAAAUAACAACAUUCACAAUUUUAUUUUAUUACCAUCAUUUAUGUUGAGUUUCAUUCAUUCAUAUAUAUAUGUAUUGACCCCCUUCUUUAAAUUAGAUGUUUCGGAAGCGGGAUGAACUCCUAGCACCAGCUCGCAUGCGAGCAAUUCAAGAGGAAUUGGCGGCAUUCUUUCUUGACCACGAGAUCCCUGAAGACGGAGAAUACUAUGUGGACCCUGAGUCCGUAUGAUUAUAUUUGUAAGAGAUAAUUAUUGUACAUAUGUAGCCGGUAGUGUCGGAUAGAUAUACGAGAACUUGUUGUUCGACCAAUCUCUCGGAGAAGGAGAGGUGGUCGAUAUCACUUCUCUCUGUAUGCAUAUAUGUUCAUGACGAUCUUCUGUUUCCUUCGUUUGCUUACUAGCUAGCUAGCGUGUCUAGUCCUCUCUAUACGUAUGUAUAGUACGUAGCGUCGACCAAGCAUGGACAUAAGAGAGGACACUUCUCUCUAUUAAUUAUAGCUAGCUAACACAAUAUAUGAAACACCUAAUUAACCCCCCAAAACCCCCAACCCNNNNNNNNNNNNNNNNNNNNNNNNNNNNNNNNNNNNNNNNNNNNNNNNNNNNNNNNNNNNNNNNNNNNNNNNNNNNNNNNNNNNNNNNNNNNNNNNNNNNNNNNNNNNNNNNNNNNNNNNNNNNNNNNNNNNNNNNNNNNNNNNNNNNNNNNNNNNNNNNNNNNNNNNNNNNNNNNNNNNNNNNNNNNNNNNNNNNNNNNNNNNNNNNNNNNNNNNNNNNNNNNNNNNNNNNNNNNNNNNNNNNNNNNNNNNNNNNNNNNNNNNNNNNNNNNNNNNNNNNNNNNNNNNNNNNNNNNNNNNNNNNNNNNNNNNNNNNNNNNNNNNNNNNNNNNNNNNNNNNNNNNNNNNNNNNNNNNNNNAACCACAGAAAUGCUGACGCGUGGAUGCCUAUUGGUCCCGGUUGGUGCCACUAACCGGGACCAAAGGGUCUCCUGCCUGGGCUCCGCGCACAGGCCACGUGGAGGCCCAUCUGUCCCGGUUCUGGAUUGAACCGGGACUAAAGGGACAGGGCAUUAGUACCGACCCUUUAGUCCCGGUUUCAGAACCGGGACAAAAGGCCCUUACGAACUGGGACAACAGGCCAUUUUUCUACCGGUGCCUAGCAAUCUACCAUGCGCGUCGCGAUUACUCUGUAGCAUCAGGGAGGGGAUAAAGGACUCGAAUUCACCCUGUUAUGUCCUGACACUUGUUCAUUCUCUUCUGUAGUUGCCUCCUGGAGAGUGAAGGAAACUGAAAGAAUGGUCGCGAUCCGGACCGAGCUGACGAAGGUAAUUAUACACAUGUCUCCUGUUCUUAUAUCUCAGCCUCCUGUUGCAUCCCAGAUGCUUUUAUCUUAUCUGUCCUGUGUCCUGUGCCAUAUAGCUGGGAGCAACGGUGGAGGAAGGCCCGGACUACUGCAUCAUUACGCCACCGGAGAAGCUGAACGUCACGGCCAUCGACACCUACGACGACCACCGGAUGGCGAUGGCCUUCUCCCUGGCGGCCUGUGCCGAGGUACCAGUCACCAUCAGGGACCCCGGGUGCACCCGCAAGACGUUCCCCAACUACUUUGAUGUGCUAAGCACCUUCGUGAAGAACUAGGCUGGGAAAAUCAACAACGAAUUGCGCUUGUACUUUGUAGCCUGUCCAUGGUUUGAGGAAAUUUUGUCUUAGUCUUGUCGCGAGAUGGUGUAUGAGUCUGUAAUAUUAGUUUUGUAGCGUGUGCACCUUGAGGUAAAAUGAAAUGUAUUGCACACUGUUUUCGUUUUUUUGAAUAAGAAAUAAGUUACCGUUCUGUGAUCUAGGAGUAGAUGCAAAUGCUGCUGGUCGAGGGGGAUCUUUAGCAUGCAAGCUAUAUGAAAGGGGGUAGCAUUCCCUAAUGCAUGAAAUAUAAUUACUCAAACCUAAAUGAAAUAGUUCAGGUAUGGAUCUCAACACGAGAUCCUAUGGAGGGAGAGCGCGCUAUCGGCAUAGAAGAUCAGUGCUCAUUGUUUUUUUUUUUUGAAAUGGUGCUCAUUGUUGUUGAUUGUGCGUUAGGCAUGCUAUGGAAGCUUACUUAGUAUGGCAUUUCAACAGAUACUACUAAUGUGCUGGGCGAAAUAGUUGGUGUAAACAAGUGGGCCCAGUUUGUGUUGCGAAAGGAACAAUUACAUCAUGUGAUGAAAAAUUCCUAUCCUACAUAAAGCAAACACUGUAGCGCACAUGUCGGGAUGUGUGUAUUUCGGGUUAGUGAGUGUCGCGCCAUUGUUCAGCAGGGACUAUAUUUGUCUUCCAUCGCGACUUGCCCGCAAAGGUCUAUUCCAGUCCGGAAUAAUCACUGUCCUCGUCACUGAAGUGAGCUCUAAGAAUUGGACUGGUUAACAUACUCCACUUAAUUAUCGUAAAAUCAUUCCUGAUGCCUUCCAAGCCUACACACUUUAUAAUGAUCACUUUCGCCUGUCUUUUGUUGUCAGAGGAAAUAGGAACCAGAACUAAGAGGCACACGAGAGAUUGAUCUCCGUCCAUCGUUGCCAAAGGAAAUUGAAAUUGGAGUCAGGAGGCACGGGAGAGACUGGUAUUUAUUUGUUGGGUAUGGUGACAUGAAGGUGCCUCGCUGGCCCACCGCAUUGCAUAUCUUUUGUGUGCUUUCAGUAAUAUUUUAGCACAUGGGCUACAUAUCUCUAGUCAGCUUUGAUUUGCUAUCUUCACUUUCACAUUUAUGCGUAGUAAAAUCAUAUAUUCGCCACAUCAUAGGCUCUCAUCGGUUCCACUCCUCCACGGCCAAAUCACAUGUCCUCAAACAGGCUACAAAAUCUGGUAUGUAGGGCAACCACAUAGCAUGGCUUCCAUGGACGACACCAACACACAAAGAUGUGAAAUCAUGAGCAAGUUUACUACAAUCAUGAGGGUAACUCACCCUAAUGGUUUGAUUGACUUGAAUGGACCAUUGUAGGAAUCCUCAUCCAAUGUAUGAAUCCCCUGGAGGAAAUGGGGGAAACAAAUCGAAAGUGAGGAAACAAAUCCAAUUAGUUAUUUUGAUAGAAGCAGUCAUAGUAUCGAGGGGGAGUGUAUCACUUCACUCAUGAAGUUAACACAAGUGAGGAUUCAUUUAUAUUAUUCACAUAAUUCAAAAGAGUAAUGUCGUUUUCUCGAGGAAAACUAGCCUUCUCACUCUCGAUACAUAUGCAUCUGAGAUUCUUCUCUACAUUCUUGCAUUGAGAUGCCACAACUCUUUCCCAGGGAAUUGGGUCAAUAUGCUGGCUAGGGAAAACAAGCUAUAUCAUAUCAUAUAGAUAAGGAAGAAUGGAGUUAUUGAGCUCUUUGCACACAUCCAGUAUAAUUCAUUUCUGAUCCAUUGCGUAAAAGGGUGUCAUGUUCUCUUUACAAUGAGGGUGAUCCCCCAUCCAUGUUUGCAUAAGAAAAGAUUUGUUGUAACCUUAUCUUCCUCAAUCUGUUUCUCCUGUUGCACCCCUUGGUGCUUAAUCUGACCUGUCUUGUGCCCUAUAGCUGGGAGCAACGGUGGAGGAAGGCCCGGACUACUGCAUCAUCACGCCGCCGGAGAAACUGAAUGUCAUGGCGAUCGACACCUAUGACGACCACCGGAUGGCGAUGGCCUUCUCCCUGGCGGCCUGCACCGAGGUGCCAGUCACCAUCAGGGACCCCGGGUGCACCCGAAAGACCUUCCCCAACUACUUUGAUGUGCUAAGCACCUUCAUGAAGAACUAGGUCGGAGAAUCUUUGGCGAAUUGCGCUUGUACUUUUGUAACCUGUCCGUGGUUUGAGGAUUUUUUGUCUUUUUCGUCUUGUCGCGAGAUGGUGUAUGAGUAUGUAAUAUUAGUUUUGUAGUGUGUCAGCCCUGAGGUAAAAUGAAAUGUAUUGAACACUAUUCAUAUUAUGAAUAAUAAAUAAAUUACCGUUCAGUGAGCUUUGAUGUCAUGCUACUGGUCGAGCAGGAUCUUCAGCAUGCAAGCUCUAGGAAAGGAGCCAACAUUCCCUCGCGCAAAGAACAUCACAGCUCUCUCAACUGAGUGCUUGAAAUAUAAGAGCAUCUACAGCCAGUCUCCUCAAACAUCCAUGGGCGCAAACAUCCAUGGACGCGCCCGAUCAGUCCGUCAUGUAGCAUGCGGAGAAAAUAAAGAGUAUGUCUGUAUGGGCGGAUAAAUAGGGGCUCAAAAUGAACACACCAGGGCACUGACCGGGCGCUUCCAUGAACAUUUAGGGGCUUGAUUUGUUAAGUCCAACUGUAGAUACUCUAAUACUCAAACCUAAAUGAAACAAUUUAGGUACAUAUUCUCUUUGAGAGAUCCUACGAAGGAAGAGCACCUAAAUGAAACAGUUCAGGUACGGAUUCUCCAUGUGAGAUCCUACGGAGGAAGAGCACGCCACUGGCAUUGAAGAUCGGUGUUCACUGUUGUUGCAUUAUGAGUUUUUUUGACAGAAGUUGUUGCAUUAUGAGUUAAGCAUGCUAUGGAACAUUAAUUAGUGUUCGUAAUGGUAUUACUAAUGUACUGGGUGAAAUAGUUAGCGUUCACAAGUGGGCCAGUUCGUAUUGAGGAAAAAACAAUCGCGUCAUGUCGGGAUGUGCAAUUUUCUAUCUUGCACAAAACAAAUACUCUAGCGUGUGGAGGUGGAACCUCAUGUUUGGAUGUGCGUAUUUAGGGUCAGUGAGUGUGACUUCACCACAAGGCAGGGACUAUACUUAUCUCCCACAUUGGCUAGCCCGCAAAGGUCUCUUCCGGUCCCGGGCGAUCACUACCAUCUUCACUAAUGCGAGAUCAAAAAAAUGAACUGGUUAACAAACUCCACCUCAUAACCAUAAAAUAUUUCCUGGUGCCUUUCAAGCCUACACAAUUUGUAGCCGACCCUUUUCACCCUCUAUAUAUGGGUGGUAUUUGUUGAUAGAGGAAAUAGGAAUUGCAGCUAAGAAGCACGUGAGAGGUUGAUCUUUGUCCAUCGUUGCUAAAGGAAACUAGAUUUGGAGUCGACAUGUAUGAGAUAAACUAGUAUUUAUUGGUUGGGUAUGGUGACAUGAAGGUGGUACGCUGGCCCGCCACAUUGCAUGUCUUUUGUGUGCUUUCGGUACUAUUUUAGCACAUGGGCUACACAUCUCUAGCCAGCUUUGAUUUGCUAUCUUCACCUUUAUGCAUAGUAAAAUCAUAUAUUCGCCACAUAAUAGGCUCUCAUCCGGUACACUCCUCCAUGACUAAAUCACCGAUCAUCAAACAAGCUACAAAAUCUGGUAUGUAGCGCAACCACAUAGCAUGACUUCCAUGGAUGGAUCACGAGCAGGUUUAUUACAGUCAUGAGGAGAAACAAAUCUUUGUACUGUUGUAGGAAUCCUCAUCCAAUGUAUGAGUUCCCUCGAGGAAAUGAAACAAAUCUAAUUAUUUUAUUUGGAUGGAAGCAAUGACAAUAUCGAGGGAGAGUGUAUCACUUCACUCAUGAAGUUAAUAUAAGUGGGGAUUGAUUUCUGUUAUUCAUAUAAUUCGAAAGAGGAAGAACGUCUUCUCAAGGAAAGCUGGCCUUCUUGCCCUCGACACAUAUGCGCCUGAGAAUCUUCUCUACCUUCUUGUGUUGAGAUGCCAACAACUCUUUCCUGGAGAAUCAGGUCAAUAUGUUGGCUAUGGAAAGCAAGCUAUAACAGAUCGUAUAGAUAAAGAAGAAUGGAAUUUUAUUAGCUCCCUGCACACAUCUAGUAUAACUCCUUUCCGAGCCCUAUGUAAAGGGGUCUCGUGCUCUCUUUACAAUAGAGUGAUCCUCCAUCUAGGUUUGCUAACAAAAGGUUUGUUGUAACGUUUUAUUCUCCAAUCUGUUGCUUGUUCGUUGUGAACAAAAGAUGAUGAUACCAGAAGAGGUGUUUAUCCAAUGGAGAUUCAACUUGAGCUUCAGUAAGACUAGUCGAGAGAAAUCCUUCAGCAACAUCAACUUUAGUCCUUCAACAAUUGUCUACUUCAAUGCCAUGCAUGCUAGAUAAGGAAACCAUUAGGUAAGAAAACAGUGCAACUUGCACAAAGAACAUUGCACAGUACUAUGCACCAAGUGUUUCCUUCCCAUCCCCUCGACUACUAGGGUAAGCUCACCCUUCCAAGCUUUGCUGGGGAGCCCACGGAUUCACCUCCUCUUUGUCUGCCUCUCCGGCAGCCCAUGGCGGGAAGAGGAAUCCUGCCUCCUCCACUUCUGCUGUUGGCUGGAUUUUUAGUCCUCGGGCUACUCGGAUGGAUGCAACACUUCUUCUUCGAGAUUGUCUUCGGGACUUCGAUCCUCCUUGAGUUUGUUUGUUUCGACAUAGUCGACAAAACUCCGGUGCAAAUUCUUGUUGUCUUACGAGUUAUGACUACAUGUUAGGGUUUCUCGUCGUGCGUGCACGAUUGCCAUCAACAAGGUCAAGUCGGUUUCGGUAGGGGAGCGGUGACAACGACGCAUCGGUGACUCGUAGUGGCGGUGAUAUUGGUCAUUUGGUGGUCUGGGGACCUCGGUAAUUUUUUUUAUUAUAUUUGAGAUGCUUAGUCCUUGUGGUGGACUUCUAUAAUAGAUACGGAUCAUUUUGGCAAUUAUUUUUACACAAUACCCAAAGUGGCGCAGUUCAUGUUGCAAGAAAAAAGAAACAUUGCUUCCUGCGAUGAACAAAAGCUAUCAAAACGUGGAAAAAAAGUGUUGCUUACCCUCUUACGAUUACAUGUCUUUGCACAACAAAGAUCCAAGAAGCAUCAAAUCACAUCACAUAUUCAUACUUCUUUCUCGAAACGCCAAGCCGAUGCGAGGUCACUGUGCUGCGGAGAUAAUUGCAUCUAUAGUCCUCGUAGUCACUGCGACGUCCAACUUGAUCCUGUAACUUGCGUAUUGCUUCAAUACGAUCCCGGUACAUAAAAAUACGUGGUCAAUACGGUCCCUGAGGUUGAGACAACAGUCCUGACUCUACAAGUUGCAUACGUAUGUCGUAUUUGCGUAGGUGACACGUGGGCCGAGAAAAAAAACGCAAGCCGCCUGAACAAAACGUGGGCCGUGACGUCUGUUUAUAGCCCAUAUGCCAGUGGGGCGUGAAAAAAGGAAAAUAGCGCGGGCUCUGGGAUUCGAACCUGCACACCAUGGCACAUACCUGCGCGAGCAAGCCACCGGAACAAGCGCAUGAUCUUACAUAUAACGCUCGUCGACUCAAAAAAUGUUCUAGUUAAAAAAUCAAGGUUCGUUUCUACAAAAUAUGUCCACGAUUUUAUAAAAAAAAUAUUCAAAACAAUGUAUGGGAAUAUAAAAAGUGCGAACAGAAUUUGUAGAAUGCGUGCAGACAAAUUUCGAACCCGCAACCACCAGGAAAAAUUUGCGCACGCAAGCCACCACACUAUAGCAGGCCCAGACACAUUUUUUGAAAACGCGUGUGCUAGCAAAUUAAGCUGGCAGUAGUAUUUUUCUUUUUGCGAAAACAGUAGUAUUUUUAUUUGUGCGAAAACAGUAGUAUUUUUUUGCGCAUGGUUUUAAACCAUAGUUUCUUUUAUUUUUUCUUUUCUUCCUUUUCUGUUUAUUAUAAAUUGUAAAAUAAUGUUUAAAGUAUUAAACAUUUGUGAGCGCUUUCAAAACUAGUUCAGAAUUUUUUUAAUGAAUCAGUUUUUUCGAAUAGUUUGAAGUUUCAAAUUUGUUCACAGUAUAAAAAACUAUUAGAAUUUUUCAAAAAUGUUUUCAUUUGUAUUUUUUUAUUUUUCGGAUUUUCAAAUUGUUCCGGUUAUAAAUUAUUUUUCUGAAUUUUAAAUUUUGUACAGCAAUACAAAAAAAAUUCCCCUUCUCUAAAAAAUGGUACAGAAUUUAAAACAAUGUUAGCGUUUUUGAUGAAUUUUUCUUCAACAAGUCCUUUUUCAUGUAUUCAUCUUUUAUGAUCUGUCACAUACAAGCACAUAUAUUGAUGAAAUAUUGCACAGUGAUAUUGUGAUACUAUACAAUUUGGAAAAUAUUGUGCAUAUACAUACUAUUAUGGAUUUUUUUAGGCNNNNNNNNNNNNNNNNNNNNNNNNNNNNNNNNNNNNNNNNNNNNNNNNNNNNNNNNNNNNNNNNNNNNNNNNNNNNNNNNNNNNNNNNNNNNNNNNNNNNNNNNNNNNNNNNNNNNNNNNNNNNNNNNNNNNNNNNNNNNNNNNNNNNNNNNNNNNNNNNNNNNNNNNNNNNNNNNNNNNNNNNNNNNNNNNNNNNNNNNNNNNNNNNNNNNNNNNNNNNNNNNNNNNNNNNNNNNNNNNNNNNNNNNNNNNNNNNNNNNNNNNNNNNNNNNNNNNNNNNNNNNNNNNNNNNNNNNNNNNNNNNNNNNNNNNNNNNNNNNNNNGCACACAAUAAAUAAAUAAUUUUCUGAAAAUGCAAAUAUUUUUUAAAUCAUGAUUUUUGUUACAAAUUUGUGAAUAUUUUUUGAAUUCAUGAGAAUUUUUUGAAAUUGCGUACAUUGUUUUAGAGCUCGUCAACAAGUUUUUAUGCAUAGGCAGACAUUCUUGAUAUUUUGGAACAAAUUCUCGUAUUCUGAAACAGUUUUUGUUUGCGACGGACUGUUUUUGAAUUCAUAAAUAUUGUCUUGAUUCAUUGAACAUUUUUAAAAAAUUUGGAAUUUUUUAAAAUCCCCGUACAUUGUUUCAAAUAUGUUUUUACAAAAUCGUGGACAUUCUUUUUAGACGCGAACCUUUAUUUUUUUUAGCUAGAACAUUUUUUGAAUCGAUGAACGUAUUAAAAAAACUCAUAAACAUUCUAUAAAUUCACGAUUUUUUUUAAAAGACAAGAACGCAAAUACUAAUACUUUUUGCAUCCCAUUAUGUACAAUAUCAAGUGCUUGUUCUGGUGGCCUUCUCGUGCUGGUAUGUGCCACGGUGUGUGGGUUCGAAUCUCUGGGCCGCCCUUUUUUCCUCUUAUUUUUCGGCCCACUGACUUAUGGGCCCUAUACAGACGUCACGGCCCACGUUUUGUUCUGGUGGGUUGCUUUUUUUUUUCUUAGCCCAUGUGUCUCCUACGCAAAUACGACAUACGUAUGCAACGUGUAGAGUUAGGACUGUUGUUUCAACUUUAGGGACCGUAUUGAUCACGUAUUUUCAUGUAUCGGGACCGUAUUGAAGCAAUACGUAAGUUCCAGGAUCAAGUUGGACGUCGCCAGCAACUACGAGGACUAUAGAUGCAAUUAUCUCCUGUGCUGCGUCUCCACCGUGCGAGGACAACUUUGAUGACCUCCAACAUGACUGAUGCUUUGGUGACAUGCAACAUGAACUGAUUCUUUGGUGACCUCCAUCAUCUUUCUCGAAAAGCCAAUGCUGCGUCUCCACCGUGCGAGGACGCCUAGAAACCAUGAGCGUCCUGUCGUCGCUGUUGGGCUCCUUGGGGAAGUAUUGCAUUUUGCUGAGCACCAUGGACCACCUUCUGGCGCACCAUUUGUGUACGAAUGGUUACUACAGAAGGUUCCAACACCAUUGACGAAGGGCACCAUUUGUGAAGGAUCACCCCUGCUAAAAUGAACCGAGGGAUACCGUGUGAUGUUGGGCUCGCACUCGAGGAAACUUCCACACGGUCUCCAUUGAACUUUUUCCGUAGGUAUUAGAGAGCAGAAGCCCACAUGGGUCACACCUCACCUGGAACACCUAAAAGCUGUUGAUGUCAACAUGAACAUAUUGCUCGAUGUCGCAAUGACUCUUAUUGUUGUUGCCCUCUUUGCCGAUGGUCCAACUACUAUCAGAGAUGGUAACCUUCUGUGCCAUCCGUACCUAUCAUCCUUGUAGCAUCAGAGAGAGGACAAACGACCCGAAAUCACCCAGCUUUGUGUUACUGUUGAUUUCUUUUGCAUGUUUUGGCCCCUUUUUUUUUGAAAAGGAGGAUUACUCCCGGCCUCUGCAUUUAAGCGAUGCAUGCAGCCAUUUUAUUAAUUAUUCACAAAGACCUUAUAAAAUAGUACAUCAGGUAGUCUAAAGCCACCAUCCUAGCAACAAUUGUCGCUACUCCCAUCCACCUGAUGAAGGGGUGCCGAUAAUCUGAGUCUAAUACCAAACAGACAUCGCAUAAAUGCCUAACAUCUAAAGCCAGAGGCCCCAACCAAGCCACAUACCGGGUUUGGGACACAAGCUGGUCCGAUGCACUCUGUAUGUCGUCGCCGCCAUCUUCAAUCAAUCCAUCUUCAGAGUAGAAACUAAUGCACCGACUUUGCCAGGCCUCUCUGCCAUCGACGUCACCAUGACGCCAGACAGCACCCUCGUCCUGCGCGAGUCCAUCUCUGCGCAUCGGACGCUGAGUAUCCGCAUCACCAUGUCACCGAGAUCCGCCGCCAUCAAUGUGUGAGAUGAAGCACCGCUCCACCAAAGAAUCCGUCCUCUGGUCCCUCGAUCACGUGUGUACCUCCAAGAAUGACGCCCCCAAGGGGGGAACGACACCAGAGCGCCGCCGUCAUCCGAUCAUCCGAUCUAGAGUUUCCUCCGGAGGUAGUAGAGAGUGGCCUUGAACUUCUCCACGGCGAUGCCUUCAAGAAGGAAACGACGUAGAUAGCGCCGCUACCGCCGGUCUCUGCAAUAGCCGAAAGCAAGUUUCCAAAGAGCCCCAGGCCGCAGCUGCUGUGUAGGCGGCACCACCGGACGGGGACAUGCCCUCCACCCCGCCGCAGAGCAAGCUGCCGCCAAAACUUCGAAGCGCCGCGCCACCAAGGCCACCGGGAGCAACUGGAAGAAGGGAGAACCGCGCCAGGGGAGAAGCCCCGCCGCCGCUGGCACUGCCCGGGCUUUGGUCAGCAGUGGCCCUCGGCGGCGGCGAGGUGGAGGAGGGCUGGCGGCGGGGGCGGCUAGUGUUCCAUGUUUCCUAUUCUUAUAUCUCAGCCACCUGUUGCCCCCUCCCCCCUACCCAAAUAAAAAAGGCACAUGUUGCACCACUUGGUGCUUAAUCUGACAUGUCCUCUGCCCUACAGCUGGGAGCAACGGUGGAGGAAGGCCUAGACUAAUGCAUCAUCAUGCCGCCAAAGGAGCUGGACGUGACAACGGUCGACACCUACGACGAGCACCGGAUGGUGAUAGCCUUCUCCCUGGCGGUCUGCGCCGAGGUGCCGAUCACCAUCAGGGACCCCAGGUGCACCGGCAAGACCUUCCCCAACUACUUUAACGUGUUAUAAGCACUUACUCCCUCUGUUCGGAAUUACUUGUCGAAGGAAUGGAUGUAUCUAGAUGUAUUUUAGUUCUAAAUACAUCCACUUUUAUACAUUUUUAAGACAAGUAAUUCCGAACGGAGGGAGUACUUUGUAGCCUGUCCCUGGUCUGAGUGUUUUUCUUCUCUUUUUUGUAGCAUGGUUUGGGCCUUGAGGCAAAAUGACCUUGUAUCGAACAUAUAUUUCGUCUGAAUAAGAAAUCAAUUAAUGUACGAAGAAAUUGGGCCGUGCCAUUUUUCCAUUUCUUCAGCAUGUUUAUUUACGAUUUAGCACUCCAUACAGAGUAAGGAUAACAGCCUCGCAGAAUGGAGGUUAAUAAUUUCAGAGUACUGAUAACAACCCUAAAAAAUUUGACUAAAUCCGGGAAAUUUUGUGUAAUAUUUGAAAUUCCAGUGUUUGUGAAUUGUAUCCAAAUGUUGAUGACAUCACUAACUGGUCGGACCGGUCCAUCAGAGUGAGUUGGCAAAAAAACAAAAAAUGCCACAAGGGCAUGUUAACUUUGUCUUCAUCUUCUUGCUUUGCCUUUCUCUCGGGCAUUUGAGCUUGCCCGUGAUAGCAUGUUGUCAGGCUUGAGGUGUGCGACGCUGCGUGUGUGGAGGUGCGUCAGUCAGAGGGCACACCGUGGCGACCCGCACACACGACCAAGCACCUCGUUGUGCUCCCUCUCCGCGUCGGGGUCCACGACGUACGUAGUAGUGGGCUACCUUGAGCACGAACCUGGCGCCGGUGGUUUGGGCGUGGCGGGCAGAGCGACCGCCCCGCUCCACAUCGCCAGCACUGUGCUCUCGGCAUCCCGACCAGUCUGAUGGAUGGGUCCAACCAGUUUGUUAAUUGUAUCUGAAUUUUGAGUGAACGUAGGAAUUUAUGGGAAACGAUGUCUGGAAUGCAUGUGUAACCAGGCUUAAAAAUGCACUCAAAUGUGAGUAGAUUGUUUCUGAAUGCAGUUUGCUUGCACUGGAACCCACUGCACUAGAAUAUGUCGUCCAUAUAUGUCGGCAGCCAAGGGCGUGUUGGAGCUGUUGAAAGUUAGUCAACUUCAUAAUUAAUUUCAGUAAUUAAUUUAAGAGUAAAAUAAUUAUUAGCAUGCAUAGCUCUAUCAUAUUACAUGAACAUGACAACAUAAACAACAUCACAAUAACAACCAUAACUAGAGAUUGGAUAAGAUCAUGAUGCACGUACUGAUCAUUUGUAGGCGAAGUAACGGUGGCUGCUGCAGAGGCCAUGUUGAUGACAACGUUGGUCGAGUCCGGUCAAGCAGACGGCGGCGGAGAUGACAGUAUGCGAUGCCGUUGGACUUGAAAGGAAGUCUGACCCGUGUGUGACAUAACGUGAGCCGUCGUGUGUAACACUUUCCAAAAUCUUUAGUUGAGACCAGCGAAUGGGAUGAGUGUUGCGGAGACCUGCUCUCCCGCUCGCCGUUGUGUAUUUGGCGAUGGUCGUGCGGUAAGUUACUAUUAAAGGGAAUAAAUAUUCUUGGUUUGGUAUUGCUUUAUUUCAUCCUGUUAUGAGGCUUUUGUCCAUUUGUGCUUCCGUUUGAGCCAAUCGAACAUAUGGGCUUCUCGGCCCAAUGACAUGCAUGCUCUCAGAAAACAAAUUGUUGGCGCUGUGGCCCAGGAAAGAUGGCCCACAUAAUGCAAGGCAGAUUGUAGGGGAUCGACCUUGCAACCUCCUUGUCAUAGAUCCAUCGUCGCAGCCAACUGAGCCGUACCACAGUUUUGUUAAGGAAAUAAUGUUUGGCCUAUUAAAUAGUCCCACCUCGCCUCCGUACGUCCAAUGCUCUCAAUUUAUAUACGCCUUUCAGCCUCUAUGUAUCAAGGAGCUAUCUCGGGAAAUAAACUUAGGAAGGAAAGAGGACCGACGUGAGGGAAAUAAGGAAAGAAAUGAAUUUUACAUAUUACGAUCAAAUAGCUAACCAGUUAAAUACUCAAGAGGUGGACUCUGCUAUGAUUUUUAAAGCUCUCACUGUACACGUAUGUGAUAAAUUUUGUACUGUAUUUAGUAUGAUGCCCCUGACUCAUAUUCAGAUUUCUAAUUUCAUGGAUAAAAUGGAGUUUUUGUGUUAAUCGUAUAGUUCUUUCCAAAGAAUACUUAUAUAAUUUUUUUUCUUCUUUCCACCACCACUCUGAACGUACUGAUAUACUGAAUAAUAUGUGUUUCAAUCACAAACUUUCUAUCCAGUGUUAAAAGCUAAUUAAAGUUUUGCGAGCUUAAAAAUAUUUCUUAAUAUAACCAAAUUUAGCUAGAAUAGGCCACAUAAUUAUGCUUGUUCAUUGAAACAUUUUAAUAGGUAGAUAUUUAUCAAUUUAAAUGUAUCCUGUUUUUUAGAAGGAGAGUGUGGGCGAAAAAUCUGUUGGGAUCAGAGGGGCGAAAGCAGCGUGCAACGGUGUGAUAACAAGGUCAUCGUGUUGAAAUUCAUCACGUUUGUCGUGAAUAGGUGGACAAUAUGACCAUUAUGGCGAAGAGAGUAGUAACACGGGUGGGUCACUUGGAGCAUGCGAGGAUUUGUUUCCCCCGUUGCAACGCUAUAUAUAUAAGUGGAGUAGGGAGAAUCCAAUCCAUUAUUUAAGUUAAUUUCACAUCACCUGCACUCUCAAGGUGGGACUAAAAAUUGCACCUCCAAUUGCCAUUUAUUCUGUUAUUCAUGGGCUUUAGAAAUUUAUUUGAGAUCUUUUUGAAAAUGCACAUGGCUCAAGCCCAUUAAUUUAAGUUUCUAAUAACAUGAACUACAGCAAACGAACGAUGGAGAGGAUGAUCGUCGAGGCGAUGGCGUCCGGGAGCGCUCGCCCACGCGGUCCGGCCCGGUUGUGCCGCUACGAGCGUGCCGCCGGACGCGGAGGCCGGCGUGUCCAUGCUGGCACGGCGACAACGUUGAUGACCAACAUCGUGUAGCAUGAGGUGUAGGGACUGGAGGUGCGGGCCGGGGACGGGAGGUGGCUCCCCGUGCCGCCAGAUCCGACAGCCUUCACCUUCAUGGCCAGCAAGCUGUUGACGGUAGGACAAAAGCUGCCGACCCUCUCGCUCACGAUUGCAGCUUCAUGUCCGGAUGUGCGUAAAUCGGGCCCGAGAGUGACACUUUUGCAGCUCAGGUACUGGAGCAGGAAGGUCUCUUCCGCCCGGGCGAAUGGCCAGGUUGGUAGACAAGUCAGGUCGGAGAGAUAUAACAUGUUAACCAACACUACCGCUUUGUCGUAAGACAGUUCCUGGUGCCUGUCAAGCCUACGCAGUUCAUGUAAAUAUCUGACGACGGCCGCUUUCCACUCCUGGAAGGCUGGAUGCAUCUGGAUAAUCUAUGUUUAUAUUGACAGAAAUUGGACUUGGAAUCAAGACUCUGGAGAGCUCGAUAUUUAUGGAUCGAGUAUAUGUGACGUGAAGGUGUGCCUCGCUGGCCCACUGCAUUACAUGGUUUGUGUGCACUUUUGGUACUAUGUUAGCACAUGGGGUGCUCUUCUUUAACCAGCUUUGAUAUUUCCUUUUCACCCGUAUGCAUGAUAAAACUAUAUAUUGACCGCGCCUAUGCUCUCAUCGGUUGCAUGCCUUCCAACACAAACCUGAAUAAUUGAAAAGCGAGACCAAACAUAUGGAAUUUUAUUCUAGACAUAUAAUAUUUUGUAACAUUAUUACUAGGUAUUCCACUAAGACAUGGCUAAUACAUAGCAUGGCUCCCGUAGACGACACCAACACUCAAAAGGCACGACAGCAUGAGCAAGUUUAUUUCAAUCACAAGGACAAAGCACAGUUUGAGCUUCAAUAAGACUAGUUCAGAGGAAAAACUUCAGCAGCUUGAACUUUAAUCCCAAGGGCCCAUAAUCCAUGCUGGAGAUAGCAUUGCUUGCUUUAGCGUCAUGCAAUUUGUGGCAAAAAUAACUUGCCCAGUGCUCAUCUAAUCAUCACGCAAGAUGUCGUGAUGAAGCGAUUACUCUGCAGCAUCAGUUUGGGCAUAGAAGAGUCAAAAGCAUAAUUGGUCAGGAUACGUUAUUUUGUGUAGUAAUAACCCUCUUUNNNNNNNNNNNNNNNNNNNNNNNNNNNNNNNNNNNNNNNNNNNNNNNNNNNNNNNNNNNNNNNNNNNNNNNNNNNNNNNNNNNNNNNNNNNNNNNNNNNNNNNNNNNNNNNNNNNNNNNNNNNNNNNNNNNNNNNNNNNNNNNNNNNNNNNNNNNNNNNNNNNNNNNNNNNNNNNNNNNNNNNNNNNNNNNNNNNNNNNNNNNNNNNNNNNNNNNNNNNNNNNNNNNNNNNNNNNNNNNNNNNNNNNNNNNNNNGGGCUCCGAUUUCAUUAACGAAACCAUCACCAGAUUUAGUUAUACUACAGACGCGCGACCUACUCCAACAUAUCUACUCCAAACCACCGAUGAACUCAAAGAUCGAGAACUCGGCAAAGUCUUAUAAACUCUAAAGCAUAACCGAAAUGGUCACAAAAGACCCAUUAGGCGAGGACGCAGCCUCCAUCGAACUACUCAAGAAAGGUAAAAUCAAGCCUUCAGGUAGCGUAGCUUCAGUUCAUCAGUCGACAGACUCCAGCUCUCCACCCUUGCAACGCUUUGUAGACCUCAUUGCUACUUGCUCGAUGAGCCUUGCCCCCAGCAUCAGUAGAUUUUGUCUUGGGUUUUUUCUCUGCAAAACAGCCCAAUCCACAAUCCAAUUGCAAGUUAGUUUAACUAGUUUCAUGGGAUCAUUGAUCAGUUUAUUUCUAAAAAUUAUGUCAUUUCGGCAUUUCCAAAUAGCCCAGAGAAUAGCUGCCAUUCCAACCAGCACAAGCUUUCUAUCUUCUUGUUUGAAUUUUCUGAUCCAGGCGCCCAGACAAUCAUCAGCCCCCUUCGGGGUUGUUUUUAGAUUGAAGGAGCAUCUAAUUAAACUCCACAGUAAUUUUGCGGCAGAACAAGAGAAAAAAAAGGUGGUCUAUUGAUUCAUUUUGACCAUAGAAAACACAUUUUUGAUCCCCUUUCCAUCCUUUUUUAGCAAGGUUAUCUUUAGUCAGUAUACUUUUCCUGGCAAACAGCCACAGAAACAUCUUAAUCUUCGCUGGAAUUUUUAUUUUCCAAAGGAAUUUGUGUGGGAAACCCACAUCUGUUUUUAUCAGCUGUUGAUACACUGAUUUCAUAGUGAAUUGUCUAUUGGCUGUCAGCAUCCAUAACGGCUGAUCUUUGCCCUCAUACAUUCUCACCUCUUCACAUCUGCUUUUCAGGCUCUCCCAAAGAGCUCUUUUAUCUAUAGAUAGAUGUCUUCUAAAUUCAAACCCUACCCAUCUCAUGUUCAUAGCCUGUGCCACCGAAAUACCAUGAUUUAGAUUAAUGUCAUAUAAGCUGGGAUAGGCCUCUUUCAGAGGUUUUGAUCCUACCCACCAAUCUUCCCAAAACCUAGUGUUUAGGCCAUCUCCCACUUUUUUCUUGACAUUUUUAUAGUAAAUGUUUUUGAUCUGCAUCAGAGAUCCCCAAAAAUGAGAAUCUCCAGGUUUCUUCUUAAUACCAGAUAUGCAUUUUCCUUUCACAUAUUUGUUUAAAAGAAUUUUAGCCCACAUCCCAUCUUCUGUUUCUAGCUUCCAUAACCAUUUAGCUAGCAGGGCUUUAUUCAUAUAACUAAGAUUCAAAAUUCCUAGGCCACCCAAUUCCUUUGGCAAGCAACAUGUCUUCCAGUUAACUAGAUGAUAUUUCUUCUUGUCCUCAUUUUCCUGCCAAACUAAUCUAGCCCUGUAGAAAUCAGCUUUUUUCCUGAUUCCUACUGGCAGCGGAUAGAAGGAUAUCAUAUACAUAGGCAUAUUUGUUAAACAGACCUGGACAAGAGUCACUCUCCCAGCCAUGUUUAGAAGUCUGCCUUGCCAGCAGGCACAUAUUUUUUCUAUCUUCUCAGUCAUAUUUUUCCAAAAUUUAUUCCCCAACCUCACAUUAGUAACUGGUAGACCCAAAUAUUUAAAUGGAACCUCUCCUUUGUUACAGGUAAAAAUUUCUUGGUAAAUCUCACUCUUAUUUCUAGCUUCUCCAAAUAGAUACACCUCACUUUUGUGAAAAUUAAUAGUUAGGCCAGACAUCUGUUCAAAGGCUGUAAGAAUGAAUUUGAGAUUUCUAGCACUCUCCUCAGUAUCAUCAAGAAGGAAAAUAGUUUGAUCUGCAUAUUGCAGCAUGCUUAUCCCAUUAUCCCCCAGAUCAGUUAACACCCCUUUUACAUAGUCUGCCUGUUUGACUUUAUCUAAGAUUAGUGCCAAUGCAUCAGUAGCUACAUCAAACAAAAGUGGUGACAUAGAAUCCCCCUGUCUCAACCCUUUAUAUGUUUUGAAAUAAGGUCCAAUUUUUUCAUUCACCUUAACACCAACCUGCCCUCCUAUCAUGCUGUGCAUAACCAUAUCACACUACUUAUCUGGGAAUUUCUUCAUUUUAAGCAUUUUGUAAACAAAUGGCCACUUUAUUUUAUCAUAUGCUUUCUCAAAAUCCACUUUGAAUAUCACAUCAUUUUGUUUGUGGUGAUGAAUAGAGUUUAGUGCUUCAUGUAAGAUCACUAUCCCUUCCAUGAUGUAUCUCCCCUUGAUAAAAACAGUAUGAGUAGGUAAGAUAAUAGGUUUUAUGAUCUUACUCAGCCUGUUCAUCAAGACUUUGGUAAUAAUCUUGAAGCUAACAUUCAAUAGACAUAUGGGUUAAUUAUCCUUUUGCCCUCGGUGGUGUCCAUGUACUCAGUUUUGCCCUCAGAUGCGAAUUGUGCUCAGUUUUGCCCCUAGUCCGUGCGCACUGACUCGUUCCGUGAACUCUGCCGUCUCCGUCAGGUCAACCUUUUGACUCGGCCCUUACAAGUGGGACCAGGCGGCAGAGACGGCCAAUUUUAUUCAGACCGUUGCACGCGUGGCUUGUGGGACCCAGUAGAGAGCCGUUGAGCAGAGAGCCGUUGGCGGGUGUGCUAUAUAAGCGGGCGACAACGGAGGUGACCACGGCGACAGAGAGCACGGCGGUGACCAUGGCGAGAGAGAGAGCACGACGGUGGGAACCUAGCAGUGGAGGGCGCGGCGGCAUUGAGAUCCCCUUCGGCUCCGAGCUCCAUGUCUUCCUCAAGCUCCCGCGCCACCUCGCGGAUGCAGAGCCGGGCGCAUGUGGACAUGCCUGUCUUCGCCUGUCCGUGGUGCCGGGCGGGCGUUGAUUGGAGGGUUUCUCAGACACUGGGGAACCAGAAUCGUCCGUUCUACGUGUGCAGCGAGAAUGGGGUAAGAAUCGGGGCAAUUGCACCAUUUUCGUGGCCGGGAUCUUUGAGCAAUGGGUUGAUCUGUUUGGUGUUCAUGCAGGUGACAUGCUUCUUUCUUUGGGUCGAUGCUCUGGCCAAGACUCUGAUGAAUGAACUGCAAGAAGAGCAUGAAGAAUGGUUGCGCAUGCUGCCACGAACGGCAGUGGCCGCACCACAAGCUCCGGAAGAAGAGAUGGAGGGCGAAGCACGCACUGACAGAGAGCUAGCUGUUGAGCUUAGGAUGUUGAAUAAGAAGGUUAGGAAGCUUGAAGAUCAAGCACUACCAAUACCCAUUUGCAAAUACUUUUGGGAAUUUGUAGGUAUGGUAAUCACACUGGUUGUAAUGUUGAAAAUGUAUGGAAAGGCAUGAAUUAUGGAGGAAUUUGUAAUCUUGAAAUUGUUUGAGAAAUUCACCUAGUUUAAAUGUUGGUUAAAGUUGUUUAAAUGUUGAAACAAAAAGAGAAGAAGUGACCAACAUUUAAAUAUGUUGAAAAAAAGAGAAGAAAUUAGGAAUUCAGAAACUUUUGAUCAAUGAAAUGCAGCUCUCUGCUCUGCCUUUCUGUCCAAAAAAGGUUGCUCUUGGGCCAAAUUCAGAGCGUAGAGCCAAGUGCAGGCUAGACUAAUGGGCCAACUGCAUCCAAUUAGGCCCAUUCGGUGGUUCUCUUGCGUAUUUUUCUGUUUUCUAUUCUGAUUUAAUUUAGGCAGUAAAUCAUAAUGCUGAAACUUUUUGUGGAAGCUAAUUGAAUUAUUCCGGAGCCAAACAAUUAAGGUUAGAAUUUUUUUGGAGCUGUUAAUUAAUCCAAUUCAAAUACACCGUGAUUUAAGUCAAAGACCAAAAUGUCAUGGGAAAUGUGCCUCAGCUCUGGUAGAGGUUUACGCCAGGUGCGAAAAUAAAUGAACAUUUUUAAGGGCAUUACAUUGAGAAAAACAUAAUUUUUCUAAAAAAAUGAAGGGUGGAAAAUGCACAAAAAAUUGGUGCGGCUGGGGACUCGAACCCAGGACCGCAUGGGUUUGUGGUGUUUAGGGCUGCACUGGUAACCACUAGGACAGAUGGCAAGACUUUGACAUGGGUAGGGAAGGAAGGUAUACAUAGUGAGACUGUGAAUUUUUUCUUAAAAAAAUAGUGAGACCGUGAAUGUUUGCACACGCGUGAGAGUGGUUUUCCUUUGUUUUGCACUUAAAUUUUGGAGGGUUGGAAGGUUGAAAAUGUAUGUUGCACUACCACAUGGUUUUGGUCAGAGUGGCACUUGGUUUAGGGUUAGAGUGGCACUUGGUUUAGGAUUUAAAGGGAAUAAAUUUGCAUGUUAGUUCAUGACUUUUUGUUUGAAUGAAACAGAGGGCUUCUCACCCCCUCCGAUUUUCAUUAAUGAAAACCACAAGUUCUCGAACUUCAUGACUUGUUUAGGGAAGAAAUGAUAUGUUUGGGCACGGACAUUUUUUAACACACAUAAUAAACCCUAAUAACUUAGAUAAGAUGGAACACACCGUACCAUUACAAUAAUAAGUACACGGAUAGUUCACGGACACAUGACGAAACAUGACACGACACGGCACGACAUAGAAAAGCAACAAAAUAAAAAACGAAACAUGACGAGCUUGACUCUGGGCUUGAACAUCUUCAUCUUGACCUCCUUCUUCCACCUUGGCCGCGCGCGCCCCUUCAACACCGUCUUCAUCUUCACACCUCCUCCUCCUCGUCGUAGGGAAGGGAGUGCAUCUGGCCUGGAGCGGGGAAGAUGCGCUCGUAGUUGGUGUAGAUGUUGUAGACGGUGAAGAAGAUGGCCUCGCAGCCGCACCAAAAGACUUGGCCGAGGAGCUCGCGCGUCAAACGGGUUGGUGAAGGUGACCUGAGCAGUAGGAGGAUGCCGCCACGGUCACGAACCUCAUUGAGGGUGAACAUCCUCGGCGAGCCCCGUGGGAGGUGGGCAUAGCCGGCUCUGAGGAAGGCGCGAGUGAGUUCGAUGGAACCCCUCCACCUUGAAAUAGCCCACACACGGGGAUCCCUCUCCACGAGCACGCCCGGUGGGUAGCGCAGCUCCGGCACGACAGGCGGACGGUUGAAGGUCGGCCCGUUGAACUGCAUCUUCACUUGGUCUCGCUUGGGGAGGGCUCGGUUGCUUGGGUGUUUGAAGUUGGAGAGGAUCGGAUCUGGCUUGUGGGUGGGAGAGGAAGAGAGACACCCCAUUUAUAGGCCUGUGGGUGGGAGAGGAAGAGAGAAAGGAUGAGAACGGUGCGUGUGUGAAUUCGGACGCGUGUGUGUAUCCGUUACGUUUUGCACACUUAAAUUUUUGCACGAAAACGAUGCAUGGGGCACGUGCGUGCAUCUGAAUCACUGCAUAGCUCUUUGACCGGGCGGUGCAUGUGAAUCGCUGCCCUGAACCACUGCCUGAACCACCUAGCUCGCCUCGCUAGCCUAGCUCGCCUAGCGCGCCUCGCUCGCCUCGCUCGCAUGCAUGCACGUCGCCGCCUCCCGCGCAUGCAAACCCAUGUCGCCGCCUCCAUGCAUGCAAGGCCUGGAAAGGCCGAGACAGGCUAUUUACUGCGGUCUCAGGCCCAGACAACGAGACGACCCAACGGUCCAUCCAGCACGCCCGGUAUUUGUUAAAAAACAAUCUCCCAGCCAAUCAGAUUGCAUCUCGCGGAUCGCCCCCCUCCUCCCCGCAGAUUCCUUCUAGAAGGGUUAGAUCGGCGGCCCUUGAUUGCCGCUAGGGUUAUAUGAACGGUCCUUGUUCAACGCUAGGGUUAGCAGGGUUUGGGAGGGGUUUGGAGCAGUCAAAGCUAUGUUUGACCAGCUUUCAAAUGAGCAUAAUAAAUUAAAUAAAAAUCAGAAAAAUAAAAAACCUGCGCACAUAGUCUUCUUAUGUCAUAUACUAACGAUUUAAGUUGAUAAACAAGCUUUACAUACAUUUAAAUGAUAAGUUCAUGUGUAUUGUAUGAUAUCUUGAGUAUCUCAAACUCUCUUGUAUGAAGUGAAGAGAAGUGUUUUGGGGAAAUGAACAUGAAAAUUUCAAAAAACUCACCACAGCUUCAUUUUGGAGUGACUAAGAAGGAUCCAGACUUAGUUUUUCAUUUUGAUGUUUUACACUUGUGUAAAUCUUGGUCAAAGUUAAGUUUGACCAGAAUUCAAAUGAGCAAAACAAAUUAAAAAAAAUCAAAAAAUGGAAAAACCAGUGCACAUAGUCUGUACAUAUAGAAUAUAUGUGUAUGAAAGUUAUUCGGCUGAUUUAGACAAGGUCGAAAAAACCUUGCUUAGAAAUGAGGCCGUUUACCCUACCUUUGGACCCCUCUUUUUAGCACAUUUUUCAUGAAAAUUUCAAAAACCUCACCACAACUUCAUUUUGGAUUGACUAAGAAGUAUCCAGGCUAAGUUUUUCAUUUUGAUGUUUUAGACUUGUUCAAAUCUUGGUCAAAGUUAGGUUUGACCAGAAUUUAAAUGAGCAAAACAAAAUUCAAAAAAUCAAAAAAAGAAGAAAAACCAUGUGCUCAUUCAAACAUCAUCCAAUAGAUAUUUAAACAUCAUGUCAAACAUACUUCUAACAUAGGUCCAACAUCAUCCAACAGAAAUACAACAUGUCAAGCGAUAAAUGUUUCAUAAUACAACAUCAUCCCUUAUUCAUAAUGUUUCAUAAUUAUUCAUAGAUAGUGUUGGGGCUUCUGUCUGUUCUUUGAGCUUCUUGCCAUCACUUUGCUCCUCGUGCACCUUGUGCUCAUUGUUUCUUCUCUUCUUCUCUUGGUUGUCGGUACCUUGCGCGUCUUCUUCAAACCUACCAUAGAGCUGUGCAAAACAUAAACGGUAAUGAGAUCAUGUCAAGUGAUAGAUGUACAGUAGUAUUUGACCCUUGCAAGAUUUACAUACCUAGCAGAACUCACAACAACAGAAGGUUGGUCACCAUUUGGAGCCUCACUUGGAUCAUCAUUUGGAGCCUCACUUGGAUCACCAUGAUCACCAUUUAGAGCCUCACUUGGAUCACCAUUUGGAGCCUCACUUGAAUCAUUAUUUGGAGGAUAUUUUGGAUCAUCGUCAAAAUCAUGCGGCUGUUGACCAUCAUCAUUUGGAACCUCGUCAAAAUCCUCAUCUGAUGCAACCGGCUGUUGACCGUCAUUUUCAUCAUCUAUUGAGGCAACCGGCUGCUGACCAACAUUUUCAUCAAAGCCUUCAUCGAAACUCUCUCCGAACGCUGGAUCUACCGUGUUAUCACAAUAGUUACCAAAAUGACCAGACCCACCACACCUUGUGCACUUACGCUUCCUCGCUCCAAGUCCAGCUCCUUCGCUGCAAGGUCUGAUUCGACUCUUCCUUGGUCUACCUGCUGCUCUCUUCAGAACUGGAGCGCAAAGCUUGAAUCCAGGGUCCACCAUGUCCCAUUGUUGUUUUCCCUCCAUAGCAGGCAAGGCAUAAGCAUAUGUGGAUUUGAACCUUACAACAGAGUAGUAAUCAUGCACAUACUGCUGUAUGUUCCCUGCUGGACCUGGGAGAGAAGUGAUGAAAAACAAGGCAUGAAUGCAUGGCAACCCAGUUAUCUGCCAUUGCCUACAACUGCAAGUUCUAGCUUCUAAAUCCACUGGAUGUCUCCAUUCCCUCUUCUCUUUAUCCAAAUAUGAUAUCUCUGCUGUGGUACCCGAGCAAAGAGUCAUGUUCAUUUCCAAGCCUGUUGUCUUCUGCUUCAGUUCAUUCAUUACGGCAGGGAUGAUAAUGUGGCCCAUGAAUUUUGCGUCAACUAUUCCUGCACGAUAAUGAAAUUUCUGCAUGUAUUCUAUCCUUAUCCUGUCAAGCAAAUCCACCACAUAAUGAUCCUUUAGUUUCCGGAUUGUUGAGUUGAAAGACUCUGCUAGAUUAUUGUGCACAUAGUCAACUUUGCUCACUUCACUGAAUUGGCUUCUGGACCAUAACUUGGAGUGGUGUGUUUCCAAGUAUUCUUUCACUUUGGGAUUCAUGUAUAACUGCCUCAAGUGGUAGUUGUGCUUCUUCACACUGCAUGUCAAAGAUGCUGGCCAUAAAUUGUCGGUAUACACCUUUCCUUUGAAUUUCUUCAUGAAAUUUGCAGCAAGGUGACGCAUGCAUUCCCUAUGCUCUACUCCAGGGAGCACAUUGUCCACGACUACUUCUAAACCUUUGCAGGCAUCUGUAUGAAUGACCAACCCAUUGGGAUGUGCAAUAGCCCGGCGGAGAUUAUGCAAAAACCAAGUCCAGCUCUCCUCAGACUAUGUCUCCAGCACACCAUAGGCAACUGAAAAUACAAAACUAUGUGCAUCAACUGCACAAGCUGCUACUAACUGUCCUUUAAACCUCCCUAUGAGAAAAGUGGCAUCAAUAGCCAAAUAAGGCCUGCAGCCUGCCAAAAAACCACGGUGACAAGCCUCAAAGCAGACAAAAACCCUCCUAAAGCAUUCCUUGGUCUUUGUCACUCCCCUGAAUGUGUACUCCACGGUGUGGUGAUCAAGAUCUACAAUACUACCUGGGCUUGUCCUCUCCACUUCACCUUUGAAUGAAUACAACAAUUGAAAACUUUCCUGCCAGUUACCAUAAAUAGAAUCCAUAGCAUGCUGUUUACCAUUGAACAACCUCAUGUAUGGUAAAUCUAUCUUGAACUUAUCUUUGAUGUUCUUCUGCAAUUCCUUUGGACCCACUUGCUGGUUUUCUUUCACCCACUUCUUUACUUCUUCUGCCACCCAUGUUGACUUGGCUCUACUGAUUGUAUCCUUCUGAGGGGUUGGUUCCUGGCAUGUGUGCUUAAAAGGGUUCACUUUGACCUGAACAUUAGUGCUAUUUCGCAUUUUAGAUGCAAGCAGCCUCCAUGGACAACCCUCAGUCGGACAGUGCACUCUGUAACGUACUUGAUCGCUCUUGUCAACUUUGGAAGUACGUUCUACCUUGAUGCAGUAUGUCACAAGUGCAUUUCUACACUCAUUCAUGGAUGCAAAAACUGUACCUUCUUCCAUAUGAGGGUUCAAAGGGUCCCAUUCAACAGCUGCAAGGUCUUCGUGCUCACCCAUCGCGUCAUCAUCCACACAGACUGCAUUGUGAGCCUCAUCUUGGUUUUCAGUCCGAGGUGCCUGUCGUAAAUUCCGAAUAACAUCAGAAUAUAGCUUCUCUUCAUCAACCCCAGAAUUGUAGCCAUCAGGCUCCACUUCAAGGGGGACCCUACUGCUGUUGCCCACACUUGUCGAGCCACCACGUCGCCAUGCACCAACUGAACUGUUCUGGCUAGAGAUGCCGUUACGACGACUUGGUUCUCCCCGAGAUGUUGCACCCGCCAUCCUAGGUCCAAAUGCCUGCUCAAGCACAUCAACUUGCAGCCUCACAUGAAAAUUAUCUUUCUCUUUAUGCCUAACAAACAUGGUAGCUAGCUCUUCAUCAUUACUAACUGUCACCCAAUUCUUUUCCCCAUCAUAGUAUUUGUAUACCACUUCAUCAAGCAAACCCCAAGGAUAUUGGCUACAAAUUACCUCCCCAAAUUGUCUGAAACUCCAAUUACUAGCCAUUGGCAACCGAUAAUCAAAACCUCCUUGGUAUUUCUUCUUAUCCUUUGCAUCGAACAUGUACCGGUCCCUUCUAAUGUGCACCAUGAAAGCAAACCGCAACUCUAUCCUAACCGGCGAAAAACAGAGAUGCAAUCAGCACACUAAUCGGGCAAACCUACUCAAAUCGAGUGUUCAAAUGCACAACUAAGCUCAAUCUAAACAAGAGGCGAGACUUACCCCUCAGGAACCCAGUCGUGGACGCGGCGGAUCUCCGACCCGAUGCCUGCCUCGCCAAAUACUCCGGGGUCGCCGCUGCUCACCAUUUCGCCCUAGGGUUCUUCCUCCUAGUUCAAAUAGCUCCAGCAGCCCCCCACCUUUGAGCGCUCCGGCCGGGUGCACGGAAGUAGGCCACGCCGCAGAUCGAGCAGGUGGCGGGCGCCCCACCCGUGGCGUCGCAGGAAGGUGGUGGGCAUCACAGGUAGCCGUGGAGCGUAGGCGCAGGGAGGUAGCGGCGGAGCAGACCGUGCAGCUGGUGGCGGGGCAGGUGCUGGCCAUGGCGCAGGUGGCGGCGGCGCAGGACAGCCGGCCGGGCGGAUGGGUGUGAGCUAGAAUGAUUUGGGGAUUUAGUUGCACGGGCCUACAUGUCAGCUCCGAACCCACGUCCACACGGUCCCACGUGUAAGCUCCGGACCCACAACCACUAACGCCGGCGGAUGGAAUGGACUCAAAUAUGGUCGUUUGGCCUCGUCAUAGUUGCUGUGCUCAGACUAGGGGCAAAACUGAGGACAAUUCGCAUCUGAGGGCAAAACUGAGCACAUGGACACCACUAAGGGCAAAAGGAUAAUUAACCCUAGACAUAUAGGUCUAAAAUUUUGAAUCUGUUUAGCAUCAUCAGUUUUUGGCACCAAAGUAAUGAUCCCAUAGUUUAGCCUAGAUAUGUCUAGUUUCCCUUCAUGGAACUCAUUAAGAAGUUUCAUCAAAUCCCAUUUGACCACAUCCCAAAAAUGUUGGUAAAAGUCUACUGGUAAUCCAUCAGGUCCAGGGCUUUUGUUUUUUUCCAUUUCAAAAACCAUCUCCCUCAGCUCUUCCAUUGAAAAAGGUUUGAUCAACUCCUCAGCUUGUUCUCUAGUAAUUGAUUGCCCACCCAACUCAUUAAGUUAAAUUGGGGAUGUGUCUGGCUGUCCAAAUAAAUUUUUGUAAAACUCAGUUAUAUAUUUAAUGAGAUUAUCUUCACCUUCUAUCACCCCCUCCUCUUGUUCCAGAGAUAGUAUUCUGUUCUUUCUUCUUCUACCAUUCACCUUAGCAUGGUAGUAUUUGGUGUUAGAGUCCCCAUCUUUAAUCUCCUUGUCUUUAUAUCUUUGUAACCAUUUCAUCUCUUCUUGUUUUAAUAAUCUGUGCAGUUGGGCUCUUAGGGUUUUUUGCUCUUCUCUGUCAAGAACAGAGAGGCCCCUAGUCUCACCAUUCUUAUCUAUUGCAUCUAAUUUCAUUAAGAUCUCUUUUUUAAUCUUCCUAUACCAAGCAUCAGAGUUAAGAAUCCAUCCUCUAACUUUAUGCCUAAAUAUUCUCAUCCUUCUCUGCCACUGUUCCAUGGUAUCACCAUGGUAUUAUGCAGUCCAUAUUUUCACAACAAAUUCUUGAAAACCCUCCCUCAACAUCCUUGAAUUUUCAAAUCUGAAAAUAGGGGGUGUAUAUGUGUUUCUCCUGUAUCAACAAUCAAUGGGGUAUGGUCUGAUAGUUCUCUCUCUAAUUCAAAUACCUCAGUCAGGGGAUAAUGAUCUGCCCAAUCUGGGCAGAUAAGCACUCUAUCGAGCUUUUCAUAAGUGGGCUCGGCCUGGUUAUUGGCCCAAGUAAAUUUUCUACCUAUUAAAGGAAGCUCUCUCAACCCAGCUUGCUCAAUGAUAGCAUUGAAGACAAAGCUGAAGGAAAUAUGCCCUAGAGGCAAUAAUAAAGUUAUUAUUUAUUUCCUUAUAUCAUGAUAAAUGUUUAUUAUUCAUGCUAGAAUUUUAUUAACCGGAAACAUAAUACAUGUGUGAAUACAUAGACAAAUAGAGUGUCACUAGUAUGCCUCUACUUGACUAGCUCGUUAAUCGAAGAUGGUUAUGUUUCCUAACCAUAGACAUGAGUUGUCAUUUGAUUAACGGGAUCACAUCAUUAGGAGAAUGAUGUGAUUGACAUGACCCAUUCCAUUAGCUUAGCACCCGACCGUUUAGUAUGUUGCUAUUGCUUUCUUCAUGACUUAUACAUGUUCCUAUGACUAUGAGAUUAUGCAACUCCCAUUUACCGGAGGAACACUUUGUGUGCUACCAAACGUCACAACGUAACUGGGUGAUUAUAAAGGUGCUCUACAGGUGUCUCCAAAGGUACAUGUUGGGUUGGCGUAUUUCGAGAUUAGGAUUUGUCGCUCUGAUUGUCGGAGAGGUAUCUCUGAGCCCUCUCGGUAAUGCACAUCACUUAAGCCUUGCAAGCAAUGCAACUAAUAAGUUAGUUGCAAUAUGAUGUAUUAUGGAACGAGUAAAGAGACUUGCUGGUAACGAGAUUGAACUAGGUAUUGAGAUACCGACGAUCGAAUCUCGGGCAAGUAACAUACCGAUGACAAAGGGAACAACGUAUGUUGUUAUGUGGUCUGACCGAUAAAGAUCUUCGUAGAAUAUGUAGGAGCCAAUAUGAGCAUCCAGGUUCCGCUAUUGGUUAUUGACGGAGACGUGUCUCGGUCAUGUCUACAUUGUUCUCGAACCAGUAGGGUCUGCAUGCUUAACGUUACGAUGACAGUUUCAUUAUGAGUUUAUAUAUUUUGAUGUACCGAAGGUUGUUCGGAGUCCUGGAUGUGAUCACGGACUUGACGAGGAGUCUUGAAAUGGUGGAGACAUAAAGAUCGAUAUAUUGGACGACUAUAUUUGGACACCGGAAAGGUUCCGGGUGAGAUUGGGACAAUACCGGAUCACCGGGAGGUUAUCGGAACCCCCCGGGAGGUAUAUGGGCCUUAUUGGGCCUUAGUGGAAAGGAGGGGAAAGGAGCAAGGGAGGCGCGCCCCCCAAGCCCAAUCCGAAUUGGAAGGGGGCCAGCCCCCCCUUUCCUUCCUCCCUCCUUCCUCUUCCUUCCCUCUCCUACUCCUAAUAGGAAAAGGGUGAGUCCUACUCCCGGUGGGAGCUGGACUCCCCCCUUGGGCGCGCCACCCUCCUUGGCCGGCCCCAUCCUCCACUCCUUUAUAUACGGGGGCAGGGGGGCACCCCAGAGACACAACAAUUGAUCAUUGAUCUCUUAGCCAUGUGCGGUGCCCCCCUCCACCAUAAUCCUCGAUAAUAUUGUAGCGGUGCUUAGGUGAAGCCCUGCGACGGUAGAACAUCAAGAUCGUCACCACGCCAUCGUGCUGACGGAACUCAUCCCUGACACUUUGCUGGAUCGGAGUCCGGGGAUCGUCAUCGAGCUGAACGUGUGCAAAAACUCGGAGGUGCCGUAGUUUCGGUGCUUGAUUGGUCGGGCCGUGAAGACGUACGACUACAUCAACCACGUUGUUAUAACGCUUCCGCUUCCGGUCUACGAGGUUACAUAGACAACACUCUCCCCUCUCGUUGCUGUGCAUCACCAUGAUCUUGCGUGUGCGUAGGAUUUUUUUGAAAUUACUACGCUCCCCAACAGUGCUAUCAGAGCCUAGGUUUUAUGUGUUGAUGUUAUAUGCACGAGUAGAACACAAGUGAGUUGUGGGUGAUAUAAGUCAUACUGCUUACCAGCAUGUCAUACUUUGGUUCUGCAGUAUUGUUGGAUGAAGCAGCCCGGACCGACAUUACGCGUACGCUUAUGCGAGACUAGUUCUACCGACGUGCUUUGCACACAGGUGGCUGGCGGGUGUCAGUUUCUCCAACUUUAGUUGAACUGAGUGUGGCUACGCCCAGUCCUUGUGAAGGUUAAAACAGCACCAACUUGACAAACUAUCGUUGUGGUUUUGAUGCGUAGGUAAGAUUGGUUCUUGCUUAAGCCCGUAGCAGCCACGUAAAACUUGCAACAAACAAAGUAGAGGACGUCUAACUUGUUUUUGCAGGGCAUGUUGUGAUGUGAUAUGGUCAAGACAUGAUGCUAAAUUUUAUUGUAUGAGAUGAUCAUGUUUUGUAACCGAGUUAUCGGCAACUGGCAGGAGCUAUAUGGUUGUCGCUUUAUUGUAUGCAAUGCAAUCGCCCUGUAAUUCUUUACUUUAUCACUAAGCGGUAGCGAUAGUCGUAGAAGCAUAAGAUUGGCGAGAUGACAACGAUGCUACGAUGGAGAUCAAGGUGUCGCGCCGGUGAUGAUGGUGAUCAUGACGAUGCUUCGGAGAUGGAGAUCACAAGCACAAGAUGAUGAUGGCCAUAUCAUAUCACUUAUAUUGAUUGCAUGUGAUGUUUAUCUUUUAUGCAUCUUAUCUUGCUUUUAUUGACGGUAGCAUUAUAAGAUGAUCUCUCACUAAAUUUCAAGAUAAAAGUGUUCUCCCUGAGUAUGCACCGUUGCCAAAGUUCGUCGUGCCCAGACACCACGUGAUGAUCGGGUGUGAUAAGCUCUACGUCCAUCUACAACGGGUGCAAGCCAGUUUUGCACACGCAGAAUACUCAAGUUAAACUUGACGAGCCUAGCAUAUGCAGAUAUGGCCUCGAAACACUGAGACCGAAAGGUCGAGUGUGAAUCAUAUAGUAGAUAUGAUCAACAUAAUGAUGUUCACCAUUGAAAGCUAUUCCAUUUCACGUGAUGAUCGGUUAUGGUUUAGUUGAUUUGGAUCACGUGAUCACUUAGAUGAUUAGAGGGAUGUCUAUCUAAGUGGGAGUUCUUAAGUAAUAUGAUUAAUUGAACUUUAAUUUAUCAUGAACUUAGUCCUGAUAGUAUUAGCAUAUCUAUGUUGUAGAUCAAUAGCUCGCGAUGUUGCUCCCCGUUUAAUUUUUAUAUGUUCCUUGAGAAAACUAAGUUGAAAAAUGUUAGUAGCAAUGAUGCGGAUUGGAUCCGUGAUCUGAGGUUUAUCCUCAUUGUUGCACAGAAGAAUUAUGUCUUCGAUGCACCGCUAGGUGACUGACCUAUUGCAGGAGCAGAUGCAGACGUUAUGAACGUUUGGCUAGCUCAAUAUGAUGACUACUUGAUAGUUUAGUACACCAUGCUUAACAGCUUAGAAUUGGGAUUUCAAAGAUGUUUUGAACGUCAUGGACCAUAUGAGAUGUUCCAGGAGUUGAAGUUAUUAUUUCAAGUAAAUACCCGAUUUGAGAGAUAUGAAGUCUCCAACAAGUUCUAUAGCUAAAAGAUGGAGGAGAAUAGCUCAAGCAGUGAGCAUGUGCUCAGAUUGUCUGGUUACUACAAUCACUUGAAUCAAGUGGGAGUUAAUCUUCCAGAUAAAAUAGUGAUUGACAGAAUUCUCUAGUCACCAUCACCAAGUUAGUAGAACUUCGUGAUGAACUAUGAUAUGCAAGGGAUAACGAAAACGAUUCCCAAGCUCUUCGUAAUGCUGAAAUUGACAAAGGUAGAAAUCAAGAAAAAUAUCAAGUAUUGAUGGUAGACAAGGCCACUAGUUUCAAGAAAAGGGCAAAGGGAAGAAGGGGAACUUCAAGAAGAACGGCAAGCAAGUUGCUGCGCAAGUGAAGAAGCCCAAGUCUGAUCCUAAGCCUGAGACUAAGUGCUUCUACUCCAAAGGGAAUGGUCACUGGAAGCAGAACUGCCCCAAGUAUUUGGCGGAUAAGAAGGAUGGCAAAGUGAACAAAGGUAUAUUUGAUAUACAGAUUAUUGAUGUGUAUUUUACUAGUGUUCGUAGCAACCCCUCGGUAUUUGAUACUGGUUCAGUUGCUAAGAGUAGUAACUCGAAACGGGAGUUGCAGAAUGAACAAAGACUAGUUAAGGGUGAAGUGACGAUGUGUGUUGGAAGUGGUUCCAAGAUUGAUAUGAUCAUCAUUGCACACUCCCUAUACUUUCGAGAUUAGUGUUAAACCUAAAUAAGUGUUAUUUGGUGUUUGCAUUGAGCAUGAAUAUGAUUUGAUCAUGUUUAUUGCAAUACGGUUAUUCAUUUAAGUUUGAGAAUAAAUUGUUAUUCUGUUUACAUAUAUGGUUACACACCCAAUGAAAAUGGUUCGUUGGAUCUCGAUCGUAGUGAUGCACAUAUUCAUAAUAUUGAAACCAAAAGAUGCAAAGUUAAUAAUGAUAGUGCAACUUAUUUGUGGCACUGCCGUUUAGGUCAUAUUGGUGUAAAGCUCAUGAAGAAACUGCAUGCCGAUGGACUUUUGGAAUCACUUGAUUAUGAAUCAGUUGAUGCUUGCGAACCAUGCCUCAUGGGCAAGAUGACUAAGACUCCGUUCUCUGGAACAAUGCAGCAAGCAACAGAUUUGUUGGAAAUCAUGCAUACUGAUGUAUGUGGUCCGAUGAAUAUUGAAGCUCGCGGCAGGUAUCAUUAUUUUUUGAUCUUCAUAGAUGAUUUGAGCAGAUAUGAGUAUAUCUACUUGAUGAAACACAAGUCUGAAACAUUUGAAAAGUUCAAAGAAUUUAAGAGUGAAGUGGAGAAUCAUCGUAACAAAAAUAAAAGUUUCUACGAUAUGAUCGCAGAAGUAAAAUAUUUGAGUUACGAGUUUGGCCUUCAGUUAAAAACAAUGUGAAAUAGUUUCACUACUCACGCCACCUGGAACACCACAGCAUAAUGGUGUGUCCGAACGUCAUAACCAUACUUUAUUAGAUAUGGUGCGAUCUAUGAUGUCUCUUACCGAUCUACCACUAUCGUUUUGGGGUUAUGCAUUAGAGACAGCUGCAUUCACGUUAAAUAGGGAACCAUCUAAAUACGUUGAGACGACACCGUAUGAACUAUGGUUUGGCAAGAAACCUAAGCUGUCGUUUCUUAAAGUUUGAGGUUGCAAUGCUUAUGUGAAAAAGUUUCAACUUGAUAAGCUCUAACCCAAAUCGGAGAAGUGCGUCUUCAUAGGAUACCCAAAAGAAAAUGUUGGGUACACCUUCUAUCAUAGAUCCGAAGGCAAUAUAUUCGUUGCUUUGAAUGGAUCCUUUCUAGAAAAGGAGUUUCUCUCGAAAGAAGUGAGUGGGAGGAAAGUAGAACUUGAUGAGGUAACUGUACCUGCUCCCUUAUUGGAAAGUAGUUCAUCAUAGAAAUCUGUUCCUGUGAUUGCUACACCAAUUAGUGAUGAAGCUAAUGAUGAUGAUCAUGUAACUUCAGAUCAAGUUACUACCGAACCUCGUAGGUAAACCAGAGUGAGAUCCGCACCAGAGUGGUACGGUAAUCCUGUUUUGGGUGUCAUGUUACUUGACCAUGACGAGCCUACAAACUAUGAGGAAGCGAUGAUUAGCCCAGAUUCCGCGAAAUGGCUUGAGGCCAUGAAAUCUGAGAUGAGAUCCAUGAAUGAGAACAAAGUAUGGACUUUGAUUGACUUGCCCAUUGAUCGGCGAGCCAUUGAUAUUAAAUGGAUCUUCAAGAGGAAGACGGACGCUGAUAGUAGUGUCACUAUCUACAAAAUCUAGAAUUGUCGCAAAAAGGUUUUCGACAAGUUCAAGGUGUUGACUACGAUGAGAGUUUCUCACUCGUAUCUAUGCUUAAGUCUGUCCGAAUCAUGUUAGCAAUUGCCGCAUUUUAUGAAAUCUGGCAAGUGGAUAAACAAAACUACAUUCCUUAAUAGAUUUAUUAAAGAAGAGUUGUAUAUGAUGCAACAAGAAAGUUGAUCAAGCAUCUUGGAGUUGGAAUAUACGCUUUGAUAAGUUGAUCAAAGCAUAUAGUUUUAUACAGACUUGUAGUGAAGCCUGUAUUUACAAGAAAGUGAGUGGGAGCACUACAACAUUUCUGAUAAGUGUAUGUGAAUAACAUAUUGUUGAUCGGAGAUAAUGUAGAAUUAUUCUGCAAAGCAUAAAGGAGUGUUUGAAAGGAGCUUUUCAAAGAAAGACCUCGGUGAAGCUGCUUACAUAUUGAGCAUCAAGAUCUAUAGAGAUAGAGCAUGACGCUUGAUAAGUUUUUCAAUGAGUACAUACCUUGACAAGAUUUUGAAGUAGUUCAAAAUGGAACAGUCAAAGAAAGAGUUCUUGCCUGUGUUACAAGGUGUGAAGUUGAGUAAGACUCAAAACCCGACCACGACAGAAGAUAGAGAGAGAAUGAAAGUCAUUCCCUAUGCCUUGGCCAUAGGUUCUAUAAAAUAUUCCAUGCUGUGUACCAGAUCUAUUGUAUACCCUACACUGUUUUUGGCAAGGGAGUACAAUAGUGAUCUAGGAGUAGAUCACUGGACAACGGUCAAAUUAUCCUUAGUGAAAUAAGGAUAUGUUUCUCGAUUAUGGAGGUGACAAAAAGGUUCGUCGUAAAGGGUUACGUCGAUGCAAAUUUUGGCACUGGUCCAGAUGACUCUAAAUCUCAAUCUGGAUACAUAUUGAAAGUGGGAGCAAUUAGCUAGAAUAGCUCUGUGUAGAGCAUUGUUGACAUAGAAAUUUGCAAAAUACUUACGGAUCUGAAUGUGGCAGACCCGUUGACUAAACUUCUCUCACAAGCAAAACAUGAUCACACCUUAGUACUCUUUGGGUGUUAAUCACAUAGCGAUGUGAACUAGAUUAUUGACUCUAGUAAACCCUUAGGGUGUUGGUCACAUGACGAUGUGAACUAUGGGUGUUAAUCACAUGGUGAUGUGAACUAUUGGUGUUAAAUUACAUGGCGAUGUGAACUAGAUUAUUGACUCUAGUGCAAGUGGGAGACUGAAGGAAAUAUGCCCUAGAGGCAAUAAUAAAAUUAUUAUUUAUUUCCUUAUAUCAUGAUAAAUGUUUAUUAUUCAUGCUAGAAUUGUAUUAACCGGAAACAUAAUACAUGUGUGAAUACAUAGACAAACAGAGUGUCACUAGUAUGCCUCUACUUGACUAGCUCGUUAAUCGAAGAUGGUUAUGUUUCCUAACCAUAAACAUGAGUUGUCAUUUGAUUAAUGGGAUCACAUCAUUAGGAGAAUGAUGUGAUUAACAUGACCCAUUCCAUUAGCUUAGCACCCGAUCGUUUAGUAUGUUGCUAUUGCUUUCUUCAUGACUUAUACAUGUUCCUAUGACUAUGAGAUUAUGCAACUCCCGUUUACCGGAGGAACACUUUGUGUGCUACCAAACGUCACAACGUAACAAGGUGAUUAUAAAGGUGCUCUACAGAUGUCUCCAAAGGUACAUGUUGGGUUGGCGUAUUUCGAGAUUAGGAUUUGUCGCUCCGAUUGUCGGAGAGGUAUCUCUGGGCCCUCUCCGUAAUGCACAUCACUUAAGCCUUGCAAGCAAUGCAAAUAAUAAGUUAGUUGCAAGAUGAUGUAUUACGGAACGAGUAAAGAGACUUGCCGGUAACGAGAUUGAACUAGGUAUUGAGAUACCGACGAUCGAAUCUCGGGCAAGUAACAUACCGAUGACAAAGGGAACAACGUAUGUUGUUAUGCGGUCUGACCAAUAAAGAUCUUCGUAGAAUAUGUAGGAGCCAAUAUGAGCAUCCAGGUUCCGCUAUUGGUUAUUGACCGGAGACGUGUCUCGGUCAUGUCUACAUUGUUCUCGAACCCGUAGGGUCCGCACGCUUAAUGUUACGAUGACAGUUUCAUUAUGAGUUUAUAUAUUUUGAUGUACCGAAGGUUGUUCGGAGUCCCGGAUGUGAUCACGGACUUGACGAGGAGUCUCGAAAUGGUCAAGACAUAAAGAUCGAUAUAUUGGACGACUAUAUUUGGACACUGGAAAGGUUCCGGGUGAGAUUGGGACAAUACCGGAUCACCGGGAGGUUAUCGGAACCCCCCGGGAGGUAUAUGGGAAUUAUUGGGACUUAGUGGAAAGGAGGGGAAAGGAGCAAGGGAGGGGGCGCGCCCCCCAAGCCCAAUCCUAAUUGGGAGGGUGCCGGGCCCCCCUUUCCUUCCUCCCUCCUUCCUCUUCCUUCCCUCUCCUACUCCUAAUAGGAAAAGGGGGAGUCCUACUCCCGGUGGGAGUUGGACUCCCCCCCUUGGGCGCGCCACCCUCCUUGGCCGGCCCCCUCCACCACUCCUUUAUAUACGGGGGCAGGGGGGCACCCCAGAGACACAACAAUUGAUCAUUGAUCUCUUAGCCGUGUGCGGUGCCCCCCUCCACCAUAAUCCUCGAUAAUAUUGUAGCGGUGCUUAGGCGAAGCCCUGCGACGGUAGAACAUCAAGAUCGUCACCACGCCGCCGUGCUGACGGAACUCAUCCCCGACACUUUGCUGGAUCGGAGUCCGGGGAUCGUCAUCGAGCUGAACGUGUGCAAAAACUCGGAGGUGCCGUAAUUUCGGUGCUUGAUCGGUCGGGCCGUGAAGACGCACGACUACAUCAACCGCGUUGUUAUAACGCUUCCGCUUUCGUUCUACAAGGGUAUGUAGACAACACUCUCCCCUCUCGUUGCUGUGCAUCACCAUGAUCUUGCGUGUGCGUAGGAAUUUUUUUGAAAUUACUAUGUUCCCCAACAAAAGCUCCAGUGAUUAUACCCACCGGGUUUGUUUUUGUCUGUAGAUUUCCUUAUCACAUUAAAAUCUCCCCCAUCAAGCAUGGGGUAGAUGCAUUGUUUUGAUAUACUCUGGAUAUUUCUGCCAUAUAAGCAGCUUUACCCCCUUCCUGAGCAUCACCAUAUACAAUGAUCAGGUUCCAGUAAAAUUUGGCUUUUUUGUCAUGUAACAAAGUUCUAAUAAAAUACACCCCUUUUUCUACAUGGGUAAUCUUCAGAGUGUCUUUAUUGACUCCAACUAGGAUGCCCCCAGCUCUCCCUCUUGGUUGUAUCCAAUGCCACUCAAAAUUUCUCCCACCACUAAGGUUAUUCAACUCAUUCUUAGAAAAGUCAUUUUUUAUAGUUUCCUGCAGACGCACAAAAUUCAUUCUUUUAUCACAAAUGUUAGUUCUGGUAAAGGAUUUUUUUGAAUCAGACCCUAUGCCUUUAACAUUCCAAAUUAGUCCUUCAUUUUUUCUUCCCUUUUUUCCUUUUUUCCCUCCAAUGUAAACCACAGAUUUCCCCCCUGUAAGCCCAGGAGAUCCUGUGUUAUUUUUUGCACUAGCAAAGAUGUUUUUUAGAUGGGCAUAAUAGUCCAACUCCAUCUCUGCAUCCGAAGGAUCUUCAUCUGAGCAUAUAUCUUUUAGAGAAAGGUCUCCAGUGUCAAUGAGAAUAGUCUCAUCUUGCACUGCUCCUUCCUCUCUUUGUUUUAUAUUGGUAAAGUAAAAAUCUCUUCUACUUUGUUCCAUUUUCUCAAUAAUUUCAAGAUUUUGAUUAAUCAUAUCAAUAGAACAUCCCAAAUCAAUGCCAAUUUUGUUAGCCAUGAAUAAAAGAGAGGGGUUAUUAACCGCCUCAUCAAUUCCCUUACCAUAAUUGUCUUUGUCAGCCGCUCCCUGCUUUGCCAGCUCUUCAAUCUUUGUAUCUUUCUUGCUAGCAAGUCUUCCACAUCUCCUUAGAGGAUCUUCUAAGUUGUUGUCCACUUCAGUUUCCUCUUUUUGUUCUUCAGUACUUAUCCCCAGUCUGGCAGCAAAGGAAUCCACUGAUUCCUGACUUGCCCCAUAAUCAACUGGCUCCACAUAUGCAUCAUUGUCAUCUAUCUUGGUGUCUUCUUCUUUGUUUUCUUCUUCCAUCUUCUCUAGUUUUUUUAGCAAUGGCAUCCAUUCUUUCUCUCUUUCCUCCCAUCUCUCAAUCUUCUCCACACAUUUGGAUAUCAUUCCUUGUUGUUGAUUGACCAGUUCCACCAGCUUUUUCCUCUCAACUCCCAUUUCCUGAAUCUUUUUGUCAUCCUGAGAUUUAAGGGCUUUUUGUCUGAUGUUUUCCUCCUCCAACUUUUGCAUUUUUUGGAUGACAGUAGCCAGAUCAGCUUCCACUUUCCGCCUAGCCUCCUUUUCUUUGGUAUAUUCUUGUUGUGCAACCAUAAUAGCCUCACUUCUUUUCUUGAGCUCAUCAAAUUGUGACAGGCUCAAACUCCCCAGGGUCACAUUUUCUUUGUUACUGUCUCCAGAAUCCCAGUUCUUCUAUCUUUUUCUCACUUCCUCUCCCAAACAUUCCAUGCCUGUUUCACCUAAGUGCUGUCUCUUAUGCUCACCAUACCAGCCCAUCUCCACCAUUUUUUCCAGCUUAGGCAUGAUUCUGUAGAUGUUUAGAUCUCUAUCUGUGAUCUCAGUGUAUCCUGGGAUCUUUUCUGAGUCUGUAAUACCCACUUUAGCUCUGAUUUUUUCUUGGGUGAUGGUAUCCAUGUCAAUUUCUAGUACUGGCCCCAAGGAUGCAACAACCUCACACAUGCCAAAGAAGUGUCUGAAAUAGUCAAGCACUUUCUCAAAGGUCACCCAUGCUGUGUGAGGUUUUCCAACUGCCUGUGAGUCAAACGCCCAUUUUUUGACACAGAUCACAGCCCCAGUGCUCAAAAGCUUGAAAUCCUCACAAUUCACCAGCUCCAUCAAUCUUCCUUUGUUUGGGAACCUCAUCAGGAAAGUGUUGCUCCCCUGUUUUUUGCAUCUCCACUACCAGCCCCAACUGAACAUAUAAUUGAAUCCAUCAAUAAGUUGGGUUUCAUUUAGCAUCCUAGAUUUGACUGUGAUUAGGGCCAUCGGAUUAGGGUUCUCCAUCUCAUUAUUGUCUUUGGAACUUUGGACCAGUAGCACCCCUAGCCCCCUGGCAGCAUAACCAACAAAUUUGGGGACAGGUUUCAUUUGUCUCAACCAGGUGCAGUCAUUUGUAAUGUGAUUUCUUUUCCCACACACUACACAGUGAUCUAACUUGCAAUCUUUGGUGGCAUGUCUGGUGUCUUUGCAUUUGUUGCAAAUCUGCUUGCUUGCUCCCCCUGUCAACAUUCUGCUCCCCUCAUUGCCCUGAUUAUUCUUCCCACCAUCUCUUCCCUGGAAUUGCUCUCUGCCAAUAGCAUCUCUCUCAGUAUUGUUGACUCUAUUCGACCACUGGUUUAUCUGAGAAUCACCAUUCUGGACCAAACUGCCUUCCCCCUGCUUGCCUCCCCACCAACCAGCUGCUGAAACAUGCUACCCCCUCCUUGAACACUCAUAUUGUUGCCUCCCAUCAAAGCAGCUCCUUGAGUCAGUUGAGAAAGCAAAACAGAAAGGAGUUUUUGCUGUUGCAUCUCCUCUAGUCCACUACCAGCACUACCAUUAUCUGUAUCAGCCAUACCUUGUUGCGUGAUCUUCAUUUUUUCUUUGUCUUUCUCGGAUCUCAUCCUUCCCUGCUCUUUGAUAACCCACAAGUAUAGGGGAUCACAAUAGUUUUCGAGGGUAAAGUAUUCAACCCAAAUUUAUUGAUUCGACACAAGGGGAGCCAAAGAAUACUCUCAAGUAUUAGCAGCUGAGUUGUCAAUUCAACCACACCUGGAAACUUAAUAUCUGCAGCUAAGUGUUUAGUAGCAAAGUAAUAUGAUAGUAGUGGUAACGGUAGCAAAAGGUAACAGUAGUAAAAGUAAUGUUUUUGGUAUUUUGUAGUGAUGAUAGCAAUAGCAAGGGGAAAGUAAAUAAGCGAAGAACAAUAUAUGGAAAGCUCAUAGGCAAUGGAUCAGUGAUGGAGAAUUAUGCCGGAUGCGGUUCAUCAUGUAAUAGUCAUAACCUAGGGUGACACAGAACUAGCUCCAGUUCAUUGAUAUAAUGUAGGCAUGUAUUCCGAACAUAGUCAUACGUGCUUAUGGAAAAGAACUUGCAUGACAUCUUUUGUCCUACCCUCCCGUGGCAGCGGGGUCCUUACGGAAACUAAGGGAUAUUAAGGCCUCCUUUUAAUAGAGUACCAGAACAAAGCAUUGACACAUAGUGAAUACAUGAACUCCUCAAACUACGGUCAUCACCGGUAAGUAUCCCGAUUAUUGUCACUUCGGGGUUAACGGAUCAUAACACAUAAUAGGUGACUAUAGACUUGCAAGAUAGGAUCUAGAACUCUCAUAUAUUGAUGAAAACAUAAUAGGUUCAGAUCUGAAAUCAUGGUACUCGGGCCCUAGUGACAAGCAUUAAGCAUAGCAAAGUCGUAGCAACAUCAAUCUCAGAACAUAGUGGACACUAGGGAUCAAACCCUAACAAAACUAACUCGAUUACAUGAUAGAUCCCAUCCAACCCAUCACCGUCCAGCAAUCCUACGAUGGAAUUACUCACGCACGGCGGUGAGCAUCAUGAAAUUGGUGAUGGAGGAUGGUUGAUGAUGACGACGACGACGGAUUCCCCUCUCCGGAGCCCCGAACGGACUCUAGAUCAGCCCUCCCGAGAGGUUUUAGGGCUUGGCGGUGGCUCAGUAUCGUAAAACGCGAUGAAUUCUUCUCUCUGAUUUUUUCUCCCCGAAACACAGUAUAUAGAGUUGGAGUUGGAGUCGGAGAGGCAACAUGGGGCCCACGAGGUAGGGGGGCGCGCCCUAGGGGGGCAGGCGCGCCCUCCACCCUCGUGGAGAGGUGGUGGGCCCCUGGCCUUCAUCUUUUGUAGAUAUUUUUUAUAUUCUCUGAAAAGUUGCUCCGUGAAGUUUCAGGUCAUUCCGAGAACGUUUGUUUCUGCACAUAAAUAACACCAUGGUAAUUCUGCUGAAAAUAGCGUCAGUUCAGGUUAGUUCCAUUCAAAUCAUGCAAGUUAGAUUCGAAAACAAGGGAAAAAGUGUUUGGAAAAGUAGAUAUGACAGAGACGUAUCACUCUUCUUCUUGCUUUUCCUUCUCUUGCUGUUGAUCCUGUCUCCUCUGCAGAUUAUCGCUACCGCUCCCCUGAUCCCAGUCUCUGUUGGUCUCUCUAUCAGUGAAGUUUCUAGAUCUAUCGCCUCCUUCAUCUUUCUUUCUGUAUUGAUAGUUGUUUCUACCUCCCCUAUUGAAUCUUCCCCUCCACCAAAUCGCCCCCAAAUCUGUCCAUAUCCUUUUCUUCAGGUGGCGGCUGGAGGUGGAACCCUAAUUCUAAACCCAAGUGUUCGACUGACCCGAGUGGGGACGAGGCUCUUGGGUUUAUAUACAUUCCCUCAAGAUCUCCCCCCUGGAAUAUCACUUUCUUAUGGGUUGGGAUUAUAGACUUCCCAGCCCAAUAUGUCUUCAGCCCAUCUUUCCAGGUCAUCGUUUUCAGGAAUUCUUUUUUCCUGUGUAAUGCUACCCAUCUCCACCACAGAGUCAGCCUCAUAAGUAAUGAGUUCAUCAUGCCCAAUUUCUAACCAAAUGUCAGGUCUUUUGGGGAUUUUUUCCAUGAGAUUUUUAACAAACCAGCCAUCUAGAUAGUUUCUUUUUUUAUAUCCUUAUCACCCUCACAUGUUGCCUCCUCGCAAAUUAUUUUGGCUGGGGCUUUUAUUUUUACACCAUUAUCCAUCUUUUUUUCUAGGAUUUUUGCGCUGAGAUUUAUCCUUAAGAUUAUGAACAAUAUCCUCAUUAAGCAAAUAUCUGCAAACUGUAUUAAGGACAUGAGACUUACCUAAAUCCUCUGGUGAGUCCCCAGCCUCCUCGCCAGCGUCGUCCCCAGCCAGCAACUAGAAGCGAUUGCCGGCGGGGGAGACGCCUAAUUGGAGAGGCUGAGGAGGCGUGGUGAGCGGCGAAGGAAGCGAGGGGAUCGCCUUGGAACCAGCACCUUCUGCUUCUUCUUCCCCCCAUUGAUGUGUACUACACAACCUUCUUUGUGUAGACGUUGUUGGGCCUCCAAGUGCAGAGGUUUGUAGGACAGUAGCAAAUUUCCCUCAAGUGGAUGGCCUAAGGUUUAUCAAUCCGUGGGAGGCGUAGGAUGAAGAUGGUCUCUCUCAAGCAACCCUGCAACCAAAUAACAAAGAGUCUCUUGUGUCCCCACCACACCCAAUACAAUGGUAAAUUGUAUAGGUGCACUAGUUCGGCGAAGAGAUGGUGAUACAAGUGCAAUAUGGAUGGUAGAUAUAGGUUUUUGUAAUCUGAAAAUAUAAAAACAGCAAGGUAACUAAUGAUAAAAGUGAGUGUAAAUGGUAUUGCAAUGCAUUGAAACAAGGCCUAGGGUUCAUACUUUUACUAGUGCAAGUUCUCUCAACAACAAUAACAUAAUUGAAUCAUAAAACUAUCCCUCAACAUGCAACAAAGAGUCACUCCAACGUCACUAAUAGCGGAGAACUAACGAAGAGAUUAUGGUAGGGUACGAAACCACCUCAAAGUUAUCCUUUCUCAUCGAUCUAUUCAAGAGUCCGUAGUAAAAUAACAUGAAGCUAUUCUUUUUGUUCAAUCUAUCAUAGAGUUCGUACUAGAAUAACACCUUAAGACACAAAUCAACCAAAACCCUAAUGUCACCUAGAUACUCCAAUGCCACCACAAGUAUCCGUGGGUAUGAUUAUACGAUAUGCAUCACACAAUCUCAGAUUCAUCUAUUCAAACCAACACAAAGUACUUCAAAGAGCGCCCCAAAGUUUCUACCGGAGAGUCAAGACGAAAACGUGUGCCAACCCCUAUGCAUAAGUUCACGAGGUCACGGAACUCGCAAGUUGAUCACCAAAACUUACAUCAAGUGGAUCACAUGAUAUCCCAUUGUCACCACAGAUAAGCACGUGCAAGACAUACAUCAAGUGUUCUCAAAUCCUUAAAGACUCAAUCCGAUAAGAUAACUUCAAAGGGAAAACUCAAUCCGUUACAAGAGAGUUGGGGGGAGAAAUAUCAUAAGAUCCAACUAUAAUAGCAAAGCUCACGAUACAUCAAGAUCGUACCACCUCAAGAACACGAGAGAGAGAGAGAUCAAACACAUAGCUACUGGUAUAUACCCUGAGCCUCGAGGGUGGACUACUCCCUCCUCGUCAUGGAGAGUGUCGGGAUGAUGAAGAUGGCCACCAGAGAGGGACUCCCCCCUCCGGCAGGGUGCCGGAACGGGUCUAGAUUGGUUUUCGGUGGCUACGGAGGCUUCUGGCGACGGAACUCUCGAUCUAUUCUGUUGCUCGAAGUUUUUAGGGUAUAUGGGUAUAUAUAGGAGGAAGAAGUACGUCGGUGGAUCUCUGGGCUGUCCACGAGGCACGGGGCGCGCCCAGGGGUGGGUGGGCGCGCCCCCACCCUCGUGGGCAGCCCGGGACUCUCCUGGUCCAUCUCCGAUACUCCGUGGGCUUCUUCUCGUCCAAAAAUAAGUUCCUGAAGUUUCAGGUCAAUUGGACUCCGUUUGAUUUUCCUUUUUUGCGAUACUCUAAAACAAGGGAAAAAAACAGAAACUAGCACUGGGCUCUAGGUUAAUAGGUUAGUCCCAAAAAUCAUAUAAAAUAGCAUAUAAAUGUAUAUAAAACAUCCAAGGUUGAUAAUAUAAUAGCAUGGAACAAUCAAAAAUUAUAGAUAUGUUGGAGACGUAUCAGCAUCCCCAAGCUUAAUUCCUGCUCGUCCUCAAGUAGGUAAAUGAUAAAAAACAGAUUUUUUGAUGUGGAAUGCUACCUAACAUAUGUAUCCAUGUAAUCUUCUUUAUUGUGGCAAGAAUAUUCAGAACCAUAAGAUUCAAGACAAAAGUUUAAUAUUGACAUAAAAACAAUAAUACUUCAAGCAUACUAACAAAGCAAUUAUGUCUUCUCAAAAUAACAUGGCCAAAGAAAGUUCAUCCCUACAAAAUCAUAUAGUUUGGUCAUGCUCCAUUUUAGUCACACAAGAAUGCUCUCAUCAUGCACAACCCCGAUGACAAUCCAAGCAAUUGUUUCAUACUUUAGUAAUCUCAAUCUUUUUCAACUUUCACGCAAUACAUGAGCGUGAGCCAUGGAUAUAGCACUAUGGGUGGAAUAGAAUAUAAUGAGGGGGUUAUGUGGAGAAGACAAAAAGGAGAAAGUAUCACAUCGACAUGGCUAAUAAAUGGUCUAGGGAGAUGCCCAUCCAUUGAUGUCAAUGCAAGGAGUAGGGAUUUCCAUGCAACGGAUGCACUAGAGCUAUAAAUGUAUGAAAGCUCAACAAAAGAAACUAAGUGGGUGUGCAUCCAACUUGCUUGCUCACGAAGACCUAGGGCACUUGCGGAGGCCCAUUGUUGGAAUAUAUAAGCCAAGUUCUAUAAUGAAAAAUUCCCACUAGUAUAUGAAAGUGACAAAACAAGAGACUCUCUAUCAUAAAGAUCAUGGUGCUACUUUGAAGCACAAGUGUGGAAAAAGGAUAUUAGCAUUGCCCCUUUUUAUUUUAUUUUUUUCUACUUUUUUUGGGCCUCCCCCUUUUUUAUUUGGCCUUUCUCUUUUUUUGGGACAAUGCUCUAUUAAUGAUGAUCAUCACACUUCUAUUUAUUUACAACUCAAUGAUUACAACUCGAUGCUAGAACAAGAUAUGACUCUAUAUGAAUGCCUCCGGCGGUGUACCGGGAUGGGCAAUGAAUCAAGAGUGACAUGCAUGAUAAAUUAUGCAUGGUGGCUUUGCCAAAAAUACGAUGUCAACUACAUGAUCAUGCAAGGCAAUAUGACAAUGAUGAAGUGUGCCAUAAUAAACGGAACGGUGGAAAGUUGCAUGGCAAUAUAUCUCGGAAUGGCUAUGGAAAUGCCAUAAUAGGUAGGUAUGGUGGCUGUUUUGAGGAAGAUAUAAGGAGGUUUAUGUGUGAUAGAGCGUAUCAUAUCACGGGGUUUGGAUGCACCGGCGAAGUUUGCACCAACUUUGAAGGUGAGAAAGGGCAAUGCACGGUACCGAAGAGGCUAGCAAUGAUGGAAGGGUGAGAGUGCAUAUAAUCCAUGGACUCAACAUUAGUCAUAAAGAACUCACAUACUUAUUGCAAAAAUCUACAAGUCAUCAAAGACCAAGCAUUACGCGCAUGCUCCUAGGGGGGUAGAUUGGUAGGAAAAGACCAUCGCUCGUCCCCGACCGCCACUCAUAAGGAAGACAAUCAAAUAACACCUCAUGUUUCAAAUUUGUUACACAACGGUCACCAUACGUGCAUGCUACGGGACUUGCAAACUUCAACACAAGUAUUUCUCAAAUUCACAAUUACUCAACUAGCACAACUCUAAUAUCACUAUCUUCAUAUCUCAAAACAAUUAUCAAUCAUCAAACUUCUCUUAGUAUUCAAUGCACUUAUAUGAAAGUUUCUAUUAUAUCCCUCUUGGAUGCCCAUCAUAAUAGGACUAAAUUCAUAACCAAAGCAAAUUACCAUGCUGUUCUAAAGACUCUCAAAAUAAUAUAAGUGAAGCAUGAGAGUUCAUCUAUUUCUUCAAAAUAAAACCACCAUCGAGCUCUAAAAGAUAUAAGAUAAGCACUAGAGCAAACGAAAAACUACACCGAAAGAUAUAAGUGAAGAUCAAUGAGUAGUUGAAUAAUCAUGCAACUAUAUGAAGACUCUCAAACAUUUAAUAAUUUCAUAUCUUGAUAUUUUAUUCAAGCAGCAAGCAAAACUAAAUAAAAUAAAAUGACGCUCCAAGCAAAACACAUAUCAUGUGGUAAAUAAAAAUAUAGCUCCAAGUAAAGUUACCGAUGAACGAAGACGAAAGAGGGGAUGCCUUCCGGGGCAUCCCCAAGAUUAGGCUUUUGUUGUCCUUGAAUAUUACCUUGGGGUGACUUGGUAAUCCCCAAGCUUAGGCUCUUGCCACUCCUUAUUGCAUAGUCCAUCGAACCUUUACCCAAAACUUGAAAACUUCACAACACAAAACUUAACAUAAAACUCGUAAGCUCCGUUAGCGAAAGAAAACAAAGCACCACUUCAAGGUACUGUAAUGAACUCAUUAUUUAUUUAUAUUGGUGUUAAACAUACUUAAUUCCAACUUAUCUAUGGUUUAUAAACUCUUUUACUAGCCAUAGAUUCAUCAAAAUAAGUAAACAACACAUGAACAAACAGAAUCUGUCAAAAACAGAACAGUCUGUAAUAAUCUGUAACUAACGCAAACUUAUGGAACCCCAAAAAUUCUAAAAUAAAUUGCUGGACGUGAGUAAUUUAUCUAUUAAUCAUCUUCAAAAAGAAUUAACUAAAUAUCACUCUCCGAUAAAAAAUGGAAGCAAUUGUCGUGAGCACUAAAGUUUCUGUUUUUUACAGCAAGAUCAACAAGACUUUCCCCAAGUCUUCCCAAUGGUUCUACUUGGCACAAACACUAAUUAAAACAUAAAAACUCAAUCAUAAAAGAGGCUAGAUAAAUUAUUUAUUGCUAAACAGGAUCAAAAAGCAAGGAACAAAAAUAAAAUUGGGUUGCCUCCCAACAAGCGAUAUCAUUUAACGCCCCUAGCUAGGCAUGAUGAUUUCAAUGAUGCUCACAUAAAGGAUAAGAAUUGAAACAUAAAGAGAGCAUCAUGAAGAAUAUGACCAGCACAUUUAAGUCUAAUCCAUUUCCUAUGCAUAGGGAUUUUGUGAGCAAACAACUUAUAGGAACAAUAAUCAACUAGCAUAGGAAGGCAAAACAAGCAUAACUUCAAAACUUUAAGCACAUAGAGAGGAAACUUGAUAUUAUUGCAAUUCCUACAAGCAUAUGUUCCUCCCUCAUAAUAAUUUUUCAGUAGUAUCAUUAAUGAAUUCAACAAUAUAACCAGCACCUAAAGCAUUCUUUUCAUGAUCUACCAGCAUACAAAUUUUACUACUCUCCACAUAAGCAAAUUCUUCUCAUUCAGAAUAGUGGGAGUAUCAUAAAAAACUCAAACACUAUAAAUUGUUUCCACAUUAAAAGUGUAAUGUUCAGAAAAAGGGUAAUCAUAAUCAUGACAAGUUUUAUAAAUACAAUCAUAUCUACUUUUUAUAGCAUAAGUAUCAUCACAAUAAUCAUCAUAAGUAGCAACUUUAUUCUCAUCAUAAUCGAUUGAAACCUCUUCCAAGAUAGUGGAAUCAUUACUAAAUAAAGUCACGACCUCUCCAAAUCCACUUUCAUAAUUAUCACAAUAAGAUUCAACAUCCUCCAAAAUAGUGGGAUUACUACUUCCUAAAGUUGACACUCUUCCAAACCCACUUUCAUCAAGAUAAUCAUCAUAAGUAGGAGGCAUGCUAUCAUCAUAAUAAAUUUGCAUAUCAAAACUUGGGAGACUACAAAUAUCAUCUUCCUUAAACAUAGCAUCCCCAAGCUUGAGACUUUUCAUAUCAUAAGCAUAAUCAUUCUCAUCAUCAAUAGUAUGGAUAGAACCAAUAGUAUAGCAAUUAUCAUAUUCUUCCAAGCAAGUGCCAAAAAGAUUUUCAAGAUCAUAAGAAGUAUCAUUAUCUUCCCAAUCAUAAUCAUCACAACAAGCAAUAGGCAUAAUGAGAUCAUCAUCAAGUGCAUCAUCUUCCACAAUUAUAUUUUCAUGAGGCACAACAGUAAUAGGAGCAGCAUUAUUUGGGAGAGAUAUCUUUUUACCUCUCUUUCUUUUUCUUUUCUUCUUCUUCACCACAUCAUGUGUGGGUUCAAUCCUCCUUUUGGAGCUCCUUAUUAAUGAGAUUGGUUGAAUAGAAGGCUCCUCCUCGUUACCUGAUUCAUCAUAAGAAAUAAUAGGAGGAUAAUGGGAAGUCUCUUCCCUUUCGUUAGUAUUCUCUUCAUCUUCUAUUUGUUUUCUUUUCUUUAUAUAAUUGGCAAUAUAAGGAUUUUCAAUGCAAUUCACCACACAAUACAUAUAAAUUUCUUCUAGAUCAAUAUCGAGGAAUUUCUCUAGGUUAUAUUCUGGAAUAAUCUUGGUUUGACGUUUCAUUUCUUCAUAACCCAAAAGUAAACUAAGUUCAUUAUAAUGUGCAAGGGAAAUCAAGUCAUCACAAUUUUUGGACACGAUUUAAUCAUGAAACAAUUUGCAUUUGAUAUUCAAAUGACCAUGUUCAUUGCAAAGUUCACAAGUAUGACUAAGAAAUUUUAAAUUUUCAGCACUAACAUUUAGCCUUUCUUGCAACCAUUUAGUUUCUAAAUGCUUAUGCCUCUUGCAAUCUCUAUCUUCCCUAUUUGGUGUGUACUUUCAAACCCAAUGCACUCCACAAAAAUUGACAUGUUUAUAGGAGACAUUUUCAUCAUAACUAGUGCAAUCAUCAUUAGUACUAUGGAUAUUCAAGGAGUUCAUACUAACAACAUUGCAAUCAUGCUCAUCAUUCAAAGAUUUACUGCCAAACAUUUUAGACUUCUUCUUCUAGCACUUGAGCACAAUUUUCCCUUCCAUCAUUCUCACGAAAGAUAUUAAAAAGAUGAAGCGUAUGAGGCAAACUCAAUUCCAUUUUUUGGUAGUUUUCUUUUAUAAAAAACUAGUGCUAAAACCAGAAACAAAAAGAUUCGAUUGCAAGAUCUAAAGAUAUACCUUAAAGCACUAACCUCCCCGGCAACGGCGCCAGAAAAGAGCUUGAUGUCUACUACACAACCUUCUUCGUGUAGACGUUGUUGGGCCUCCAAGUGCAGAGGUUUGUAGGACAGUAGCAAAUUCCCCUCAAGUGGAUGACCUAAGGUUUAUCAAUCCAUGGGAGGCGUAGGAUGAACAUGGUCUCUCUCAAGCAACCCUGCAACCAAAUAACAAAGAGUCUCUUGUGUCCCCACCACACCCAAUACAAUGGUAAAUUGUAUAGGUGCACUAGUUCGGCGAAGAGAUGGUGAUACAAGUGCAAUAUGGAUGGUAGAUAUAUGUUUUUAACUAAUGAUAAAAGUGAGCAUAAACGGUAUUGCAAUGCGUUGAAACAAGGCCUAGGAUUCAUACUUUCACUAGUGCAAUUUCUCUCAACAAUAAUGAGAUAAUUGGAUCAUAAAACUAUCCCUCAACAUGCAACAAAGAGUCACUCCAAAGUCACUAAUAGCGGAGAACAAACGAAAAGAUUAUGGUAGGGUACGAAACCACCUCAAAGUUAUCCUUUCUGAUCGAUCUAUUCAAGAGUCCGUAGUAAAAUAACAUGAAGCUAUUAUUUCCGUUCAAUCUAUCAUAGAGUUCGUACUAGAAUAACACCUUAAGACACAAAUCAACCAAAACCCUAAUGUCACCUAGAUACUCCAAUGUCACCUCAAGUAUUCGUGGGUAUGAUUAUACGAUAUGCAUCACACAAUCUCAGUUUCAUCUAUUCAAACCAACACAAAGUACUUCAAAGAGUGCCCCAAAGUUUCUACCGGAGAGUCAAGACGAAAAUGUGUGCCAACCCCUAUGCAUAAGUUCACGAGGUCACGGAACUCGCAAGUUGAUCAGCAAAACAUACAUCAAGUGGAUCACAUGAUAUCCCAUUGUCACCACAGAUAAGCACGUGCAAGACAUACAUCAAGUGUCCUCAAAUCCUUAAAGACUCAAUCCGAUAAGAUAAAUUCAAAUGGAAAAAUCAAUCCGUUACAAGAGAGUAGAGGGGGAGAAACAUCAUAAGAUCCAACUAUAAUAGCAAAGCUCGCGAUACAUCAAGAUCGUACCACCUCAAGAACGCGCGCGAGAGAGAUCAAACACAUAGCUAUUGGUACAUACCCUCAGCCCCGAGGGUGGACUACUCCCUCCUCGUCAUGGAGAGCGCCGAGAUGAUGAAGAUGGCCACCAGAGAGGGAUUCCCCCCCUCCGGCAGGGUGCCGGAACGAGUCUAGAUUGGUUUUCGGUGGCUACGGAGGCUUCUGGCGGCGGAACUCCCGAUCUAUUCUAUUCCUCGAAGUUUUUUAGGGUAUAUGGGUAUAUAUAGGAGGAAGAAGUACGUCGGUGGAUCUCCGGGCUGUCCACAAGGCAGGGGGGCGCGCCCCCCACCCUCGUGGGCAGCCCGGGACUCCCCUGGUCCAUCUCCGAUACUCCGUGGGCUUCUUCUGGUCCAAAAAUAAGUUUCGUGAAGUUUCAGGUCAAUUGGACUCCGUUUGAUUUUCCUUUUCUGCGAUACUCUAAAACAAGGGAAAAAACAGAAACUGGCACUGGGCUCUAGGUUAAUAGGUUAGUCCCAAAAAUCAUAUAAAUAACAUAUAAAUGCAUAUAAAACAUCCAAGGUUGAUAAUAUAAUAGCAUGGAACAAUAAAAAAUUAUUGAUACGUUGGAGACGUAUCACCCGCCACUGCUCUCGCCCAAAUCUGGAAUCUCCUUCGGCUCCCCCAUCUCUGAAUUCAGCUCCUCCUCGCUGUCCUCGAUUAGGAUCAGAACCCAGCGAGUCCCCGGGGUGGGGAUCGCCAUCACCGCCCCGACUACGAACUCCUAUGGUCCCGCAGGGUGGCGGCGACGAGAUCUGAAUCCCCACCACUUUGCCCUCUGGGAUGGAUCCCCCGACUCUGUUUCCUCCAUGGCCCAGACCAACGCAGCUAGAGAGCUCACCGGGGCACCCGUCGGAGUGGUGAAUCAGUUGGGGGCGAGUCUCUCGUCUUCCUCCACGGUCAGGUUCCUGAAGACCCUCUUUGCUGCACGCUGCAUCUCUCUCCUCGUGGCGAACCAGGACACCACCUCGUGCGCCCUCGCCAGCUUUGUCUCGUCGCCGCUCGCCAGCUCUACGAUGGCCCUCUCCAUCUUCAUCCUCCAAUCCGCCAUCGCCUCGGCUCUCCUGAGCAAGGUCUCACUCGCUAUGGUGGGAGAGGGUGGAGUUUUGGAUGUGUUGUGUUUCCCAGCCACCGGGCGGUGGGGAUUUAUUGCCCACACUCCGCCCGUAUUCAUGGCGGUAGUUCGCCUCGGAAUCCUCCCUGCCGCCUCCCCUCCCCCAAUCGAGCGAAUCCCACACACAAGCCAAAUGGCAUGGAAACCAAAUCCUUGACCGCCAUGAAAUUACCUAUGUGUCUCGCAGUCCUCGGUUGUUGAUCAAUCAGUUCUCCGCAUCAAGGAGGAUAAUCCGGCCGAUCUCCCUCUGAAUCAACAUCGUCCCCUUGUGAUAGUAGAGCAGCCCCGCCGCGAAGAGGUUGGGUAUGUAGAGAGCCGGCCACGCCUCUCUCCCGUCCUCCAUUCGCCGCUCGUCGUCGGCGGGCUCCCUCCAACCACUCUGGUGUGGGGAGCGGUGGUCGACCGAGUCGCCCUUCCGGUUGCGUGCACUAGUCGCCAUAAUAACCCUCUUAUGUGUUGCUGUUGAUUUCUUUUUCAUAUUUUGGUCCUGACACUUGUUCCUUCUGAUCUGUAGUUGCCGCCAGAAGAGUGAAAGAAAUCGAGCGAUAGCCUUCUCCCUGGCGGCUUGCACCAAGGUGCCAAGUCACCAUCAGUGACCUCAGGUGCACUCGCAAGACCUUUCCCAACUACUUCGACGUGCUAAGAGCAUCUCCAACCGUUGGCCCCCUAGGGGGCGCCUAACAUCGCUGCCUAGGGGUGAGCCGGCGCAAAAAAUGGGCCUGUGGGCGAGUUGGUCCCCAGCCGCCGGCCCCAGGGCCGCCCCAGGCGUGAUUAAAUAAAAAAGUAUAGCAAAUUUCCGCGCAGUUAGGCGAUGUUCGGCUAAACACGACAAAUUUCGGCCAACUUGGGCAUAUAUUUGGACAAAGUUCGCCGAUUUUCCUUACAUAGCAAAUAUAUAGUAAACUAAUAUAAAAGAAACUUGCUAAACACCGAGUAGUCGCCGUCGUCGCCGCCAUCCUCGUCGUCGGCCUUCUCCUCCUUGACGUGGGCGCCCCUGCUGGACCCGGCGUCGCCAUGGCGGACUGGUGGUGGCGGCGGCGCGUCGUCGUCGUCGCUGUCGUCGAUGACGAUGACUCCUCUUUCGUCGCGGCCCCGGCGGCGCUCCGCGAAGCGCUGCAGGGCGGCGCACUGGCGCUCCAUCGCCAUCUUGAGGGAGUCCUGGCGUGCACAUUCAAGGGCCGCGUCGUCGUCGCGCUCGACCUCGCCGUGCUCCAUCUUCACGGCGGCGAGCCCCGGCUGUACCUUCACCGGCGCGAGCCCCGGCUCCGUCUUUGGCUUGACGAAGCACGGAGGAGGAGCCGACGAGGAGGCGCGCCGGCCGCCCUCGUUGAUGAUGAUGCUGGCACUGCGAGUGCGCCGGCCGAGCGGCGACUCCGCCGCGGGUUCGGCCUUGACGCCGAGCAGCGCCGGAGUGCCGGAGGAGUGCGAGGAAGAGCACAAGGAGGAGGAAGAAGAGGAGGAGCCGAACCUCCUUGGCGCCCAUGGCACGUCGCGUCGGUGGUGCGCCUGGGCGGCCUCCCUCGCCGGGGGGUAUGCCAACGGCGAGUCGUUGCCGCCCUCGAGGUGCGUCAGCAUGCCCUCGAGUGUACGUCCGGGGACGCCCCACCACAGGCGGCACCCCUCGUUGUUCUUCAUGCCGGCGACCACCGCCGUCCCGUUGGUGGACGCCAGCCACUGCUACUGACGGCGCUCGAAGUACGCUGCCCAAGCCGCAUGGUUGUAGGCGGCAUACUGGGGGUGGGAGAGUUGGGCGUCAGUGAGGGAGGCGCGCACGACGUCGACCUCCUCGGUGAAGUACCCAGGUUUGGCCAUGGCGUCGGGCAGCGGGGGAAUGGGCACUCCCCCGUUGCUGAGCUUCCAGCCCGUCGGCCCGGCGCGCAUGUCUGGCGGCGCCGGGAUGUUCGCCUGGAACAGGAGCCAAGACUCCUAUCCGCGGAGCAAGCGGCGGCGGAAGCCGUUGGCCGCCGCCUCAUCUCCGGAGAAAUGCUCGGCCAUCGGGAGGGGAGGGAGAGCGAGGGCUCGACGGCUAGGGCAGCUAGGGCUAGGGCUGGUGUGGCCAGAGGCGAGGGAAGCCGCCGGCUUUAUAUAGCUGCGCCGCGCCCGUGUGUACGCGUGCGAGGGAGGGGAGGCGUCUGCGCCGUCCCGUGACAUGCCGCCCGUGAGGAAUCAAUGGUAAGGCUGACUGGCGGCAGCCUUGCCAUUGAUUCCCCACGGGAAACCGAGGUGUGGGGGGAAGACGACGCACGGUGUCGCUGACGCGGUGGGCCCGCGGCUCUUUCGCGCCAAAACCGCUCGCCCCGGCGUCCCCGAGCGCCCCCAGCGCGCCGGGUUCGGCCUGGGUCCGCCGACGCUAAUUUCGGCCCAGGCCGGCGAAAAUCGGGCUCCUGGGAGCACGGCUGGGCCGAUUUUUCUGCGCCGGCACGAAAAAAUCACCUGGGGAGGCCUUUCUAGGGGCGCGGCGGGAGAUGCUCUAAGCACCUUCAUCAAAAACUACAUUGGAGAAUCUACGACGAGUUGCACUUGUACUUUGUAGCAUGUCCAUAGUUUGAGAAAAAUUUUUCUUCAUCUUCUCGCGAGAUGCUGUAUGAGUGUGUAAUACUAGCAUGUGUGCCUUGAGGUAAAAUGAAAUGCAUUGCACACUCUAUUCAUUUUUUGAAUAAGAAAUAAG